GGCUCCAACAUUGAAGUCAUGCUGGGCCUUCCCAACAAUGACCUCCGAAGAAUAUCUUCCAAUCAAGCUGAAGCAAACACUUGGGUCCAAAACAACAUCUAAAAUUUUGCUAACAAUGUCAAGUUCAAGUGCGUUGCUGUAGGAAAUGAAGCAAAACCUAGACAUAACUUUGCUCAAUACCUUGUUCCCACCAUGAGAAACAUACAAAACACCAUCAAUGAAGCCGGCCUUGGAAAGUAAAUCAAAGUUUCCACUACCAUCUGCCUUGGAAAUCAAAUCAGCCUUUUAAAUGCUAUUUUAUUUAAUAAGUUUCUUCAUUUUGAUAUAAUCUUUUAAAAGCAAGUAAAGAAUUGAUUUUUACAAGCAGCUUAUGAAAUAAAGCACUCACCUUUUUAAAGUUCGUAUUAUAACUUUAAUUAAGAUGCCGUGGCCACCAAUAAUGCCACUCUUUGCCGCACAUUUGACUCUAAUAGGCCCACUCAUAUGUAAUCUCAAUGUAAAUUACAUACCCAACAUGCAAACCAACUUCGCCACUCAAACCCAACCACUAUUACAACUAGCCUAAACCCUUUUGUUUAACUCAGUUGUGUCUUUUGCCACAGGUACAUAACCUAACCUUACUUGAAGUACCCCCUUCGGCCUUAACCCCUUACUAAUCAUAACUCUCUGGAAUUUCAUAGCUAGUUUACAAAUUAGGAUGGCCAUUCUCCUGAUAAAGUGGCUAAUGUUGUUACAGAGACAUUAGAGGAUGAAGAUGAUGACGAUGACAAUGAUUAUAUGGAAGAAAGUGACACUGAACUGGUCUCGUCGGAGGGCGAUGUGUCCCUGAAUAAUGAGAAUGUCAUGGUAGUGAUUCAAGAGGCUACUGAGCCAUUUGGUUGAGGUCCAUCUCUUUCUUUUUUCCUAAUUUAAACGGUUUAUUCAAUUACGUUUUGGAACAUUCAAGGAGUUGCUUCUGUAAACUUUUGUUGGACUUUUCGGAUUCUUGUGAAAACUUAUAAAGUGUUGAUGGUUGCUAUCUUCGAACCUUGAAUUAAUGGCCUAAAGGCAAAUGAAUUUAUCAGAAAGAGUGGUUUUGACAAGUCUCAUAGAGUUGAAGCCAUUGGUUUUUUUUGUGGUAUUUAGUUGUUGUGGAAAGAUAGCUAUGAUGUGGAAAUUAUUUUAAAUCAUAAACAAUUUAUUCAUUUUAAUAUCUCAAAAAAUAAUGUGUUCCUUUCGUGGGUUACUUCUAUUUAUGCUAGUCCUAAUCCAGACAAAAGGAGGCAUAUUUGGAGCCAUUUAAAGAGGCUUGCUACUAUAGUUCAAGGGCCAUGGCUCAUUGGGGAGAGGGGAUUUUAAUUCUAUUAUAUAUGCUUCGAAAAAAAGAGGAGGUUCUUCAUAUAGAAGUGGUGUAUGUGGGCUAUUCAAAACUUGGCUGCACUCUAAUAAGUUACACGAUCUCCAAUUUAAAGGGCCUAAUGUUGCAGACCGCCCUAGUUACUAGCCCAAUUGCCUACAAUUUCGGGCUAGAGAACCCAAGACAAAGCCAAGAGUGCUAGCUUGGCCCGAUUCCGCAAACUUUUAGGCAACUCUAGCACAUUUGAGCUUGUAAAUAUCUAGAAUACUCCACACAUUUCCAGCACAUGUAAAUAACUAGAUAGUGGUAGAAUUCUCUAGAAUCUCUAGAGCUUGGCAAGCCUCUCUUAUAAAUAAGGCAUGACAUUUAGCAUUUGAGCAACAAGUUUAGAGCAAGCAACUCAAACACUCUUGUAAGAUCUCUUGUAAUCUCUCUUGUAAGCAAUAUAAUUUCUCUUAUUCGGCUUCAUUGCUCUCUUCUCUCUAGCUCUUCGAAAACCUUUAGGCUUAGUUAGUCGAGAAGCUCAAGGCUUACUUAGCAACAUUCGGCAAAGUUGUCUAAGUGCCGCACGGGUUGCUGCACAAAACACUCAUCCCGUGACACUAAGUUCACUUGGUGAAGGGGCACUCUAGCUAAAUGUUUAGAUAGGGUAGUCUGCAACAAAGAUUGGAUGACCAGGUUCGCUGAAAAUAUGGUCUUUGAUCUCCCAAAAAUUGAGUCUAAUCACAAACCUUUCUUUGUGCAUUUUGAGAAGGCUGAGGAAAGGAGUAGAGGGAACAAACCUCUUCGAUAUCUGGCCACAUGGCUUACUGAUAAAGACUUUGAGGAUUUGGUGAAUUCUUGCUGGGGACUGAUGACUUUUAUCUUAAGGCAGUUUAAUCAUCUACUACCAAUGUUUCUCUUUGGAAUAAGAACUCAUUUGGAAAUAUUUUUUAAAAAAAUGAAACCUUCUAGCUUGCAUUGGAGGUAUCCAAAGAGUUCUUGAGACUUGUACCAAACAGAGUCUUGUUCGCUUGAAGUUAAAAUUAAAAGCUGAGCUGGAGCAUGUCCUUACUGAAGAAGAAUUGUUGUGGCAUCAGAAGUCGAAAAAGGAAUGAAUUAUGCAUAGGGAUUGAAAUACUACUUUCUUUCAUCAGAAAACUCUUACUCGAAGACGUCAGAAUAAGAUUGAUGCGAUACUAGAUAGUGGAUGCAUGAUGUAGCAGAUAUUAAAGUUCAUGCUAUUAAAUUUUUCUUGGAUCUCUAUACAAACGAUUAAGAAACCUUCAUACAGUACCCUUUUACAGGUUAUUAUCUAGCAUUAACAUAACAUGUCUACCCUCGCUUAAUGCCUUAGUGGAUGAUGAUGAUAUUAAACAUACGAUUUUCAACACGGAGCCCUCCAAAGCUCCUGGCAUCAACGAUCUCCAUGCCAUUUUCUACCAAUCCUAAUGAAACACAGUAGGCCCCUCUUUCUACCAUUUUAUUAAGGAUAUUUUUAGGAGUGGUAAUAUUCCAUCUGAGAUCAAUAGGACUUUAGUAGUUGUUAUCGCAAAGACAGACCAUCCCAGCUCUUUAAGAAUGUACCACCCUAUUAGCUUAUUCACAGUUGCUUAUAAAAUAGUUACAAAGAUUAUUGCAAACAAGUUGAAAGUUAUUUUAUCACAACUCAUUGGUCCCUGCCAAACGAGUUUUUUGCCUGGUUGACAUAUUAUUGAAAAUAUUAUUGUGGCAUAGGAGAUUAUACAUUCUAUGGGAAGGAAACUGGUAGCAGGGACAAAUGGCUAUUAAAGUAUAUUUGGCGAAGGCUUAUAAUAGACUUAGUUGGAAUUUUAUUCAAGAAACUCUCAUUUGAAGUAGGGCUUCCCACUGAUUUUGUGCAUAUUACAAUGAAUUGCAUCACUACCGCUCAGAUGAAUGUCCUUUAGGAGAAAGAGUUCACGGAUGAUUUCUUUCCAUCGAGGGGAAUAAGACAAGGGGAUUCUAUAUCUCCUUAUAUUUUUGUUCUUUGCAUUGAGAGGCUCAGCCAUGGAAUCUGUCAUGUAGUAAAUACUGGAGAAUGGAAACCAAUUCAUCUAUCUUGACGUGGAACCCCUCUUACUCAUCAUUUCUUUGAUGAUGACCUCAUGUUGCUUACGGAGGCAUCUUGUGAAGCUAAAGUCCUAAAUAUAGUACUGGAUGUCUUUUGUACCAGCUCUAGAGAAAAGGUCAAUAAGGCUAAAGCUCAUAUAUUUUUUUUCUAAAAAUGUUUCCAUAGGUACAGUUAGAAAAAUUGGUUAGAUGUUGGGUUUUUCUGUCGUUGCUGAUCUUGGCAAGUAUCUUGGAAUGUUGCACAUUUGUCUUUAGCUGGCAGAAUAAGUGCCUGUUUGGGUUAGCUUAAUUAAGCUCUUUUUUGGCUUUCAGAAUUAAAAAAAUGUCUUUUGGGAUUAUUUGAGUGUCAAACCAAGUCUUUUUUUAAUCCAAAAGGUCUUUUGGGAGAAGCCAAGAUUUCUAGCUUUUUCCAAAAGACCUUUUGAGAAGUUAUUUUCUCAUUUAUUACACUUUUCAUAAUUCCUAAACUAACCUUAAAUUAACAAAUGAACAAAAAAUAUUACAUCUAAUCCAACCUCUUAAACCCUAUCUCUUACGUAUUUUUCUUGUUUUGCCUCUUCAUUGUUCAACUAAAAAAAAAAAAAAACAACAGAAGGAGCACAAUCACCACACCAAUCUUCUUUCAAGUAAGCAUUUUUUUUGUAAUCUCAUACUUUGAUUUGCAUCUUAUUUUUAAUUUAUAUAUACACACACACACACACUGAAAUCUCAUUUUUUAUUUCUUUGUCCAUUCGUUUAUGCUUUAUUUAAUUAUUUUUUGAAGUAAAUUUAUAAAGUUGACUUAGAAUGAAGAAUAAUUUUUUGCAAACUAGUGGAAUGUAGAGUAGAAGUUAUGUUUCCAAAUUAAAUUUAAUUAAUUUUGUAUUGUUAAUUUAUAAAGUUUUUUUUAUUUCGCAUGAGUUUUUAUUCAUGUGGGCAUAUAGAAGUGUUAUUGUUUAGAAUAUAAAGUGAGGAAUUACAUUUAGUUCGAAUUGUUUAGAAUGAAAAAUAUUGUUUGAUUUGCAUAUUAUAUGACAAGCAUGUGCAGUAACAAAUAACUGAAAUUAAAGUUACAACAAUUGAUAUUUAAUAUUUUGAAGAUAUUAGUAGUUGUGGCAUCAGUUACUGCCGAAUUGUUUUAUAUUCUUUUGUGUUUAUUGAUUUUCUAUUAUUCUUGCCCUGAUUUGGUGUUGUUGAUAUGUUUAUUGAUAAAUAUCUAUUACCCUUAACUAGAAUUAGAUGGCAACUGAUGGUGUCUCCCAAGGUAAAUCCAAAGCUAUUUGGGAUCCAAAAUCACAUGAAAUUAUAAUCGAGUAAGAGCUGGUAAUAGAAGUGGAACACAUUUAAGUAAGCAAGGUUGGAAAAAUCUUGUAGAAAAUUUCACAAGGGCAACCAAUAAAAAUUAUAAUCGAAAGCAACAUAGGAACUGUUGGGAUAUUGUGAAGAAAGAGUGGCAGAUAUGGGAUGAAUUGGUGAGGGGAGAAAUAGGGCUAGGUUGGAAUAUGGAGAGACAAACAAUAGAAGUUACAAAUGAAUAGUGGGAGGUAAAGUUACAAGUAGGUUAUUUAAAUUCAAGUUAUUUUAAGUUUAAUUCAUGUAUUAAAUUUUAUGUUGCUAAUUCUAAAACUAUAAUAACAGAAACACCUAGAAGCUGCAAAAUUUUGGAUUAAGGGCCUAAACCAUGCUUUUAUGUUAGAUGAAUUAUUUCAUGAUAUUACAACAACAGGAGCAAGAGCUUGGGCACCAACUUCUGGUGUAACACCCCCUUUAUACAAUCAUUCUAGUUUUGAAAAUAUUCUUGAGGAUGACAUUGUUCCAGUGGAUAGUUCAAAUUUUGAACAAGUCAACUAUGAUGAAAUAGGAUAUAGUGACUGUUUGGAAAAGAUUCCACAAAGAAGAAAGGAAUUAAAAAAAGCUAACAUGAAAAGAUCUAUUGCAUCUAAGUUGACCAAACAACUUGAUGAACUUUGUGAGGCAAUUAAGAACAAGGAUUCAUAUAUACGUACUGAUCCUCCUGAUUGUAGUGUUCAGGAGGUUGACAAGUUAGCUACACUUCUAGGAUGCCAACCAAUGUCUCCUAUAUUUAAGUUGGACAUUCGUUUGUUCACAAAAAAGGCAAAUAAAGAGACUUUUGUUACUUAAUCUAGUUAUUUUAUUCUUUUUUUUAUAAAAAAAAAAGGUAUUUUAAUUUGUAAAAGUUUAACUAAAUUGAUCAAAUAAUUAUUUUGUUUGUCAUUGAUUUUUAAAUUUCAUAAGUAUUUAUUAGACUCAAAUAUUUAAGGGUAUUAAUGACUUUAAAAUAAUUAAAAGAUCUUUUUUAGAUGGUCAUCCAAACACUUCAAAAAGAGCUUCUCAUUAAAAAAAAAAAAUUUAUUAUGGUCAUCCAAACGGCAAAAAUAAGCUAGAAUUUCUACUUAUAUUUUACUUUUAAGUAGAAGCAAAAGCAAAAGCCAACACAAAAAGGCCCUAACUCUUGCUCAAUCGGUCAUCAAAGAGGUACCCAUCUAUGCUAUGUAAAUUACAAGCCUUCUCGUGUGUGUCAAAGCCAAAAAUUGAUCAAGCUUGUAAAAAUUUGAUUUGGAGUGGAGCUAAUUCUCAAUGGAAGAUGAAUCUUGUGAGUUAGGAUAAAGUUUGUCAACCUAAAAGCUAUGGUGGUUUAGGCUUAAAAAUUCUUGAAGUAAAAUGAAGCUUUAUUGAUGAAAGCGGGGUGGAAUCUUAUUUCAUCCCCUACUAGCCUUUGGACCAAAGUAUUACUUACAAAGUAUGGGCUGAAUCAUGAGAACUUGCUAUCAGUCUUGCCAACAAGAAAUGGUUCAUACUUAUGGAAGUCCAUUGGAAAAGUAUGGAAUGAUACAAUAAUGAAGAUUCGGUGGAAAAUUGGAGAUGGCAAGAAGGUUCGUUUUUUGUGGGACUGCUGGGUCACAAAAGCUCAGCCGUUGAUUGUCCAUGCUAUGGCCCUGAUUCCUACUGAUAUUAUUAAUAAGACUGCUACUAAGUUUGUUAAUGCACAGGGUAAUUAAGAGUUUCAGUCAUCUCCUCCCAACAUAUCCUUCUUCGAAUUGCUUCAUUUCGGCCACCAAUGAAAGGCUAUGGAGAAGAUCAGAUUUUUUGGUCUAAAUCUAAGAAAGGUAACUUCACGGUAAAAUCAGCUUAUGAUGCUCUUUCCAAGGAGAUUAAGAGAGAGAAUGAUCAGAUAUGGAGUUGUGUAUGGCGUUGGAAUGGUCCUCAAAGUAUUCGUGUUUUCAUUUGGCCAGUUUUGCAUAAUAGAUUGAAAACAAAAGCUGAGAUUUCAAGGAGACAUGUUCAAUUAGAUUGCAAUUUUGAUCGUUGCGGUGGUGGUGCUGAGAUUACUUUGCAUGUGUUACGGGACUGCAUGAUAGCUAGAAGAUUUUGGAAUGCCAUCAUCCUGGUACAUCAAUGUCAAUAUUUUUUCUCUCUGAACUUGCGAGAUUGGAAGAGCUAUAAUUUGACGAACACGGAGCAGGUUGGAUCAAAUUUUAGUUGGAAUAUUUUCUUUGGGGUAGCUAUAUGGCAUCUUUGGUUUUGGGGUAAUUAGUUUUUAUUUCAUGGUGUGACUUGGGAUUGUGCUAGCAUGAUAUUUGAUGUCAAGAUAAAAGCUACAAAAAUUCAACGUAUUAGUACCACGCCAAUGGGUAUGAAUAAUCGACAGGUUGAGAAGUGGAUAUGUUGGUCUCCUCCAAUCUGGCCUUGGUGCAAGUUAAAUACUGACGGUGCUAUAAAAAAAGACUGGGGAAGUAAGUGCAGGCGGUCUUAUUAGAGAUCAUAAUGGGGCUUGGGUGGCCAGCUUUGGAAUGAAUAUUGGAUCGUGCUCGAUUACAGUAACUGAGCUUUGGGAUCAAGGUUUAAAUGUUGCUUGGCAAAAUGGGAUUCAAUGGUUACUAGUUAAAGUUGACAACCUCUGUAUUUUUCAACUAAUCACCACUCAUAUGAUCACAGCUAAUGAGUUUUUCCUCCGAUUAAGUCCAUUAAAGAUCUCAUUAGUCGCAACUGGCGCAUUACCAUUAAUCAUGUUUAUAAGGAGGCUAAUUUUGCAGCAGACUUCUUAGCAAACCAUGCACUAUCAACUCCUUUGGGUCUUCAUUUGUUACCAAAUCCUCCUAGCAUCAUUGAUUAUCUUAAACAUGACAUGUAUGGGGAGGUUACCUACGUUUUGUUUUUCCUUAGCUCUUUUUAGAGCCCCUUUGUAUCAAAAAAAAAAAAACAAUAAUACUAUGCUUACAUAAUUUUGAUACAUAGUUUAGAUACCAACUGCUGUGAUAUUAUUUAAUUGGCUCUAGCUGGUAGCUGGUGAUAGUUAUAAAGCCUUUUCAUUUCUCAUCCAAAUGAUUAAGUUCGAUUGGUGACAAAUCAGCUAAGAUACAAACUAAGUUUCCCAGUAACUGAGUAAGGGCAAGGUUAGUGAUGUUGUAGCUUUUAAAAACAUUAGUUGUAAAGAGAAUCAGUUGAGCAUUUAGCAAAAUUUAUUUUUAUAAGUGUUGUGAGUUCUAAAAGCAGUUGUAUGUAUUUGGUGAAUCAUACAGUUAAACACUUAAACUGUUGUAAGAAUGUAAAUGACUAAAUGGAACAUAGUGUUAAUAAAAUUUAUAAAAAUGUACAUAAAAUAAUUUUUGUUGUGGAUAUAUAAUAAUUGAUAAUUAAAAUAAAUAUUAUUUAUGUUACUAGUUUUAUUUUUUAUUUUACUGUCUCAAUAUAAUUGGUGAUAAUAAUAAUAAUCCAUUUAAAGUUAAUGUUUUUAUUUCCUAAUUAAUAUGGAAAAUUUAGACUUUUAUACUACAUGGAGAUAUAUAUGGAAUUGUAUUAUGUAUAGAAUUGAUUUUCAAAAUUAGCUAUUGAAAAAUUACUCAUUUCCUGCAUUUGAAAAUCUACUAUAGGAUGGAGUGAUUUUAUUGGAAGUGAUUUCUAAAAUAAAUUACCAAGCACUAAAGUUAACUUCUAGCUUUUCAAAAUGACUUUUAAGCCAUUUGAAAGCAAAUCCCAAACGAGCCUAACUAUAGCAUUACUCAAAAUUUAAAAAGAAAUUAUAUCUUUUUUUAAAAGCUUAAUUUUAUAAUGAUAUUAAACACCCUAGUUUUAAACAUUUCUUGGAUUUUCCUACACUUUAAAAUCCCAAAUCAAAUAUAAAACUUUGUCUAUAUUGGUCAUUAUAUAAUAAAAUAACACUUUUGUAACAAAAUUUACUAAAUACACAAAUUCUACUUUUCAAGCUCAUAAUAAUUAAGUAACACAGUUUACUAAACGUUAAACUACUUUUUUAAUCAAUAGACUAUGUUAUGGGAAUUAGAAUUUCUAGAGAUAGAGGUUCUAGGAUGCUAUAUGUAGAUCAAGAAAAUUAUUUAGAUGAAAUACUCAAGCGAUUCAAUAUGACAAACUGUAAACCAGUUAGCACACUUGUGUGUAAAGCCACAACUCUCCAUAAGAAAUGGUGGCCAACAAAUAAAACUGAAAUAAAAGAAAUGGAAAAUGUACUUUAAACACAGGCUGUUGGAAGUCUUAUGUACACAAUGACGAGUAUUAGAUCACAUAUAUCACAUGUAGUAGGAGUUGUUCGUAGGUAUAUAUAUCAAAUCCAAGAAAAGCACAUUGACAAGCAGUUAAAAAAAUUAUGAGGUACUUAAAAGGAACAAAAGAUAUGAAAUUAUGUUUUGGAUUAAACGAUCUAGAGAUUGUUGGAUAUUGUGAUGCAGACUUUGCAGGUAAUAUAGAUGAUAAAAAGUCAACAUGUGGUAAUGUAUUCUUAUUUGGUGGAACAACUGUUUCUUGGCUAAGUAAGAAACAAGCUUGUAUUGCAAAGUCAACAAUGGAAGCAAAAUACAUAUCUUGUAGCACAACAGUAAGCACUGCUGUAUACGCUAAAAGGUUUAUUAAUAAUCUACAACUAAAUUUAUCUAAAGAACUUAUUAAUUUGUUCUGCAAUAGUAAGUUUGCCAUUUUUUUUAGUUAAAAGUGGAGUAAAGAGCUCAAAAGGAAAACAUAUCAAUAUAAAUUAUCACUAUGUACAUGAUAUAGUAGAGAGCGGAAAAAAAAAGUCGACUAUUUCCCUUCUAACAAGAUGGCAACUAAUCCCAUGACCAAGGGAUUAUCUUUGGAAAAGUUCAGAGAGCAAGUGACUACUACGGGUUUAAGAAUCAUCUAAAUGUGCAGUCAUAACAUGCGGUAUAAGGGUAUCAUUGAAAAUUCUCAAGGACGCUUGAAAAAAUAAUCGAUACAACUCUGUUUGAUUCAUUAAUUGGUCAAAUGAAAGAUAAAGAACACUAAGCGAGGAAACAAGGGUUAUAAUAGAUCAUUUUUUCUGUAAAGUUUGUUUAAAGGCAUCAAUGAUGAAUCUAUGUAACACUAGGUGUUUAGUGUAAAGUUACCAAAUAAAACUAGGUAUGAACAACGCUCCUAGUUUAAGAUAUUAGUGAAUUUUAUUUUAUAAAAUGUAGUUACCUUUACUUUUGUAGUUUGGUCUUGGUGUUAUGAUGUAUGAUAAUAAACGAGAAUGUGCAUAUUAAAAUUAUAAUCAUCUAAGAAUACAAACUACAUCAUUUGAUCAAGUGGGAGAUGCUAAUAUUCAUGUGCUCAAAUGGUCCCAUACAGAACAUAUUAAGCUUGCAUAAUGUAUCACAAAGUUGAUACACAUGAGAUACCUACAUGUUUAAAUUUGAACAUGUAACUUGUAGAUGGAUAAUGGAAGUUGCUUGUUCAAAUUUCAAACAUGAAACUACCACAUUAUUGCCUAUAUAAAGUCAUAAACACAUUACAAGUAAAUUCAUUCCAAGACAUACAUAAAAGUUGUUAUCUUAUGAUCUUGGAGUUCUGCAUGUAACCACCAACCUAACAGUGGUGUAAAACGAUCAUUAAAUCCAGCAGACAGCUAAGAUACAAACUAAGUAUCCCAAGAAGCAAGGGAAACUUAUUUGCAUUAAAAAAACAAGCCAAUACAAGCUGAUAGCGGUCCCAGUCAAAGCGUAAGUGAUUGAAUAUAUUUCUACUUAGGGUGAGAAAUAAGACCACAAGAUAUUUGAUUUUUUGGAUAAUAGUCAAUGCCUUUAUUCAAGUCUGUUGGAGCUUAUUUAUACUUGAAACAACUUAGCCAAACAAUCUAACUAUCACUCGAGAUUGUAGGCAGGUACUAAGCUAACAACUUGACUUAUUCUUUUAGCUUAACAAAACAACCGAAUAUGAAUUAAACCAAAUAAUAAAUCUCCAUUAAAUCAGCAAGUGAUCCCAUGUUGACCGAAUCAAUCCAUGAUCCCUGUAGACUGCUCCAACAACCAUUCUUCCAACGUGUUGCAUGUUGCAUGUAACGUAUGCAUGAGUCUUGAGCCAUGUGUGUUAACAUGAAUAUGUUAAUAAUAUUGAUUUUGAUGAUAACAAACUUUAAAUGGUUCUUUGAUAAAAAUGUUAGAGCUAUUCCUUAAUAAACAAAACCCUUAAUAAUCAUUCCAUUCAUUUUUUCAUAAAAGAUGGACUUUCAAAUUAGAAAAGAUUCUCUGCAGAAUUUGGUUUAAAAUGUAAUUCUGGACAUAAACGGUAAACCGUUUUCCUUUAAAUGGUUAACUGAUUAAUACCAGAGAGCAACAUAUUGCCUAAAGCUCUAACUGUUUAUGAAAAACGGAAAACACAAAAGAUGGGAAGGCUACUGGAACUUAACGGUGAACCGUUUAUAUUUAAACGGUUAACCGAUAACAUCCAGAAUCACUGAUUAACAAAACCGGUUAAGGCUGAAUUGUUUUGCAUGUUACUGGAGACAAAUGGCGAACCGUUUAUUACAAACGGUUAAUCGAUAACAUCCAGAGAAGUCACUUCAUGCAAAUCCUUAACCGUUUAAUAUAAAUGGAUAUUAAGACUGAAUUAUUUUGCAGGUUACUGGAAACAAACGGCGAACCAUUUAUUAGAAACGGUUAACCGAUAACAUUCAGAGAAGUCACUUCAUGCAAAUCCUUAACCUUUUAGUGUAAACGGAUAACUGAUGUUCAUCUUGCAGGUCCCUGGAAAUUAACGGCAAAAGGUUAAUCCUAAACGGUAAACCAUUUAUUUGAAAUUUGGCCUAACGGUUACUUUUGACCAGCCUAAACGAUUAACCAUUAAUAGUUAACGGCGAACCGUUUUCGGGCCGACAAUUUGUAACGGCUAGUUUUUCAGCUCCAAAUAUAAAUAAGCUCAUUCAAAUUCAAAGAAGAUUGAUCACAACACGACCAUUAAGCUAAUAUUCGAGAAUACAAUCUUCAUAGAGCUUAGAACACAUUCUUGCUUCAUCUAUUCACAUAUUAGGCAUCAUUGUGUAAUCCUAUAUAUUGUGAGAGGCAAAUCAAUUUGUAAUCUUUUACUUUGAGUGAUUGUAAGUGUUGGGAUACACUUGGGUUAAGAGAUUGGGGAUAAUCUCUUGUUGUAAAGGUUUAUUGACACCUUGAAAGUCAAGUGUAAGCAUUUGAAGCCUUGGAGGCUUGCUUAGUGGAAUCCUCAAGCCCGGAAAGCUUGGAGGCGUGGACGUAGGCGAGGUUGGCCGAACUACAUAAAAAUCUCUGUGUUUGAAUCCCUUUCCCCUUAUCUUUUUAUAUUGUGAUCAACUUAAUUGUUAUUGCUUUGAAUUUGGAUUAUAUUUGCAUUAAAUUUUUCUUUAUAAAUUGAAUAAUUUUUAGAAUCCCAAUUCACCCCCCUCUUGGGUUGCAUACUUGUAUUUCAAUUGCUAUCAGAGCCUUGUUCUCUUGUUAAGACUUAAUCGUCUAGAGUAAAAGAUCCAUGGCAACCCUAAAUGACUCAACCUUUAGAGAAGGGCAAUCUACAACUAGACCGCCAUUCUUUGAUGGAAAUGACUACCACCAUUCUUUGAUAGUGAAUCUAGAAUACUACCACUAUUCUUUGAUGGAAAACUAGAAUUAGAAUUUACUUGCAAGCCUUAGAUUAUGAAAUUUGGGAAGUUGUUUGUGACGGUCCAUUCAUGCCUAUGUUUAAAGAUGAAGUAGGAGAUGAUAUUCUUAAACCAUCAAGUCAAUGGAGUGAGUUAGAAAAGAGAAAAAUGUCUCUAAACUCCAAGGCUAUGAAUGCUUUGUUUUGUGCCCUUGAUAAGAAAGAAUUCCAUAGAGUAUCUAGUUGUGAAAGUGCACAAGAGAUAUGGAACAAACUUGAAGUUGUCUAUGAAGGGACAAAUCAAGUAAAAAAGUCUAAAAUCAGUAGAUACACUCGUCAAUAUGAGUUGUUCCAAAUGGAACAAAAUGAAAAUGUGUAUUCUAUGUAUACUAGAUUUACGGACAUAGUGAGCACCCUAGGUGCCUUAGGGAAAACCUUCUCAAAUAGUGAGAAAGUUAAGAAAAUCAUUAGGUCACUUCCAAAAGAAUGGAGACCUAAAAGAACCACCAUUGAAGAGGCCAAAGAUUUAAAUACUUUACCUCUUGAUGAUUUAAUUGGUUCUCUCAUUUCAUAUGAAAAUGAUUUAGCUGCAGAAAAAGGACAUGGAGAGAAGAAGAAAAGCAUUGCUCUCAAAGCUUCAAAAUAUGAGAGUGAUGGGGAGAGUGAACCGGAUGAUAAAGAGCUAGCCAUGCUAGCAAUGAGGUUCAGAAAAUUCUUCAAGAAAACCGGAGAGCGAAGAAAUUUCAGAAACUUCAAGAACCAUAGGGAGAAGAAGGAGGCAAUCACAUGCUAUGAAUGCAAAAAGCCUGGACAUAUAAGAUCGGAGUGCCUACUUAUCAACAAACUCAAGAAGAAAGCAAUGGUUGCAACUUGGGAUGAUAGUGAGGAAGAAUCAAGUGAUGAAGAAGGAUCGCAAGAAGUAUCAAACCUAGCACUCAUGGCAAUAGGAGGGGAUGAUGAUCUCAAUGAUUAAAGAUUUGCAUAAUGAGUUGAUGAAGAUUGGUAAAAAGAAUGUAUGUCUUAAAAAGGAAAUGACAAAGCUUAAAAAUGAAAAUAAAUCUCUAAAUGCAAGAAUUGUAUGCCUAGAAGUAGGGAACAAAACACUGCAUGAUGAAAUUGCAUUAUCAAAUGAGAAACCUAGCAUCUUACAUGAGCAUUUAGAAUCACACAUAGAUGAGUUGAAAAAUGAGAACGAAAUGCUCAAGAAAAAGAGUAAUGAAUUGAAUGAAAUUGUUUUGAAAUUUACAAAUGGGCAAAAGAUGUUGGAUAAUAUGCUUAACUCACAAAAAUGUGUUUUUGAUAAAGGAGGACUUGGAUAUAAGCCUAACUUGAAGCAAAAGUAUUAUAAGAAUUAUUUUGUUAAAGCUACCUCCACAAAUAAUCAUAAGAUUGUAUGUCAUUAUUGUAAUCAAAAUGGUCACAUGAAAUAUAGAUAUCCCGUGAAAAAGAAUGCAUAUUAUGGUGUCAAAUGCAUUUGGGUUCCAAAAGAAACCGUUGCUAACUCUCAAGGACCUAAAAAGUUUUGGGUACCUAAAACUUGAGAUUUUCUUUCUUGUAGGGCUUGAAGAAGAAGAAAAAUAAAUGAUACUUGGACAGCGGUUGUUCAAGGCACAUGACCGGAAACUAUGCAUGGUUCUUAAGCUUCACCAAAAUUGAAAAUGGUGGAGACGUAUCUUUUGGAGACAACUCAAAAGGAAAAAUUCUUGGAAUUGGAAAUGUUGGUAAAGUCUCUUCAACUCUAAUUGAGAAUGUGUGUUUGGUUGAGAACUUGAAACACAACUUAAUUAGCAUUAGUCAAUUAUGUGACAAAGGUUAUAAAGUUAUCUUUGAUAAAUUUAGUUGUGUUAUUGAGAACUCAUGUGAUGGAAAAACCUUGUUUGUUGGUAAUAGAUGUGGUAAUGUUUAUAUCAUUGACAUAGAAUGUGCAUCUACUCUUGAUAAAUUUUUUUCCGCAUUACAUGAUGAUAAUUGGCUAUGGCAUAGAAGAUUAGGACAUGCAAGUAUGGAUUUGAUUUCGAAAAUUUCAAAAAAUGAUUUAGUUAAAGGUCUUCCGAAAAUUGGUUUUCAAAAGGAUAAGAUUUAUGAAGCUUGUCAAUUUGGAAAACAAAUUAAAACUUCUUUCAAGAAUAAAAACCAUAUUUCUACUUCAAAACCUCUUGAACUUCUUCACAUAUAUCUUUUUGGACCAUCUAGAUAUGCGAGUCUAAAUGGUAAAUAUUAUGCAUUUGUGAUAGUGGAUGAUUAUUCUAGAUAUACAUGGGUAUUAUUCUUAGCCAAUAAGGAUGAUGCUCUUGAUGCUUUUAAAGUGCUUUAUAAGAAAUUACAAAAUGAAAAAGGGAAUAAUAUUAUAUGCAUUAGGAGUGAUCAUGGAGGAGAAUUUGAAAAUCAUGCAUUUGAGAACUUUUGCAAUAAUCUUAGCAUUGAGCAUCAAUUUUCAUCACCUAGGACUCCACAACAAAAUGGAGUUAUUAAGAGAAAGAAUAGGUCUAUUCAAGAAAUGGCUAGGACCAUGUUAAAUGAAAAUGCAUUACCUAUAUAUUUUUGGGCCGAAACCGUCAACACCGCUUGCUAUGUUUUAAAUCGGGUGUUGAUUAUACCUCAUCUCAAUAAAACUCCCUAUGAGCUUUGGAAAGAUAGAAAACCCAACAUUGGCUAUUUCAAAGUUUUUGGAUGCAAAUGUUUUAUUUUAAACACAAAAGAUAAUCUUGGUAAAUUUGAUCCAAAAUCUGAUGUUGGCAUCUUUCUUGGGUAUUCAAACUCAAGUAAAGCUUAUAGAGUUUAUAAUAAAAGAUCUUUAAUUGUGGAGGAGUCCAUGCAUGUUAUGUUUGAUGAAUCUAACCCCUCCUCUGCGGAGAAAGGAGUUGAUAAUGAUGAAGCAGACGGAGAUUUACAAGAAGAAUCAUCAAAAGAGAUUCAAGAAAAUGCAUCACAAGAAAAUCAAGAGGAUAGACAAGAAGAGCAAACAAAUACUGAGAUGGAGCAACAAGAAGGUAUUUCCCAAACACUCCCCAAGGAGUGGAGGUAUGUCUCUUCUCAUCCUAUAGAUGUAAUUUUAGGAGAUCCCUCACGAGGUGUUACAACUAGAUCAUCACUUAGAACUACUUGUGAGCAUAAUGCAUUUAUCUCUCAAAUUGAACCCAAAUCCUUUACGGAUGCGGAAAAUGAUGAAUCUUGGAUUAUGGUAAUACAAGAGGAGUUAAAUCAAUUUGAAAGAAACAAUGUGUGGGAAUUAGUUCUUAAACCGGAACACCAAUCUGUCAUAGGCACUAAAUGGGUAUUUAGAAAUAAGAUGGAUAAAUCCGGGGUGGUUGUAAGAAAUAAAGCUAGAUUAGUGGCUCAAGGUUACAACCAAGAAGAAGGAAUUGAUUUUGAUGAAACUUUUGCACCUGUAGUAAGGUUAGAAUCAAUUAAUGUUGUUAGCAUAUGCAUGUCAUAAGGAUUUUAUUUUAUAUCAAAUGGAUGUCAAGAGUGCUUUCUUAAAUGGAUAUAUUAUGACUGAAGUUUAUGUGAAACAACCUCCUGGUUUUGAAAAUGAAAAAUUUCCAAAUCAUGUUUAUAAGUUGCUUAAAGUCUUGUAUGGAUUAAAACAAGCACCUAGAGCAUGGUAUGAUAGACUUAAAAAUUUCUUGCUAGAAAAUGAUUUUUCUAUGGGUAAAGCGGAUACUACUCUAUUUGUUAAGCAUAAGAACCAAGACAUACUUAUUGUUCAAAUUUAUGUUGAUGAUAUAAUUUUUUGUUCUACUAAUGAGUUGUUGUGUAAAGAAUUUUCAUCGUGUAUGAGCAAAAAAUUUGAGAUGAGUAUGAUGAGAGAGUUGAAGUACUUCCUUAGACUUCAAAUCAAACAAAACGAGGAAGGAAUUUUCAUAAAUCAAGCCAAGUCCAUAAAAGAUCUACUCAAACGAUUCGGCAUUGAUGACUCAAAGACCAAGAAUACACCAAUGAGCACAACAACCAAGCUGGACAAAGAUAAAAAAGGCAAAGAAGUGGAUAUCAAAAUGUAUCGAGGUAUGAUCGGAUCCCUACUUUAUUUGACUGCAAGUAGACCCGAUAUCAUGUUUAGUGUAUGUUUGUGUGCAAGAUUUCAGUCAUGUCCCAAGGAAUCUCAUUUGCUUGCUGUUAAAAGAAUUUUUCGUUAUUUGAGUGGAACCAUAGAUAUUGGCCUUUGGUAUCCUAGGGGAACUCAUAUAGAUUUAAUAUGUUAUUCGGAUGCGGACUUUGCCGGUUAUAAAGUGGAUAGGAAGAGCACUAGUGGUACUUGCAUAUUCUAGGACACUCUUUUGUUUCAUGGUUUAGCAAGAAAUAAAAUUCUGUCGCACUUUCAACUACCGAGGCUGAAUAUAUAGCUGCCGGAAGUUGUUGUGCACAAGCACUUUGGAUGAAACAAACACUUAGAGAUUAUGGCAUUAAUCUUGAACAAAUUCCUAUUAAGUGUGAUAAUACUAGUGCUAUAAAUCUUUCAAAGAAUCCCAUUCAACACUCUAGAACCAAGCAUAUAGAAAUUAGACAUCAUUUCUUGAGAGAUCAUGUUCAAAAGGGAGAUAUUGCAUUAGAGUUUAUUUCUACGGGAAAACAACUUGCCGAUAUUUUCACAAAACCGCUUUGCGAAGAACAAUUUUAAAAAAUUCGGUAUGAACUUGGGAUGAUGAAAUUUUCGCAUUAACGUAUCUAUUCAUGCUAUUGAGUGUACUGAAUUGAUUGACUUACUUGUGAUCAAAUAUUUAUGAAAUGCUUGAGCUUGAUAGUCAAAUGAUGAAUUUGCCUUGAUAAUUCUUGAUUAUAUGAAUUAAUUGGUUGAAAAACAUGUUCAUGAAUCAUGCAUUAAAAUGGCUCAUAAAAUAUUUUCAGAUCAAUUAAAUGAUCUUGGAAUAUAAUAUUUGCUGGCCAAAUAUUAAAUCAAAUGUACGAAAUUACGGAUAAAAUAAACGGAUAACGGUUUCUAAUAAACGGUGAACCGUUUUAUUCCAGAAACGAGAUUAUGUGUCUGUCCGUUUACUCCUUCACCGUUUGCUACAAUCGGUAAACCGUUUUAUAACAGAGAGUCCUCUAACAGUUACUCCUUAGCCGUUAAGCGUUUAAGCUUUCACCGUUACUUAUUCUUUAGCCUCUGGAAGUUACGCCUUAACCGUUUAAAUAAACGGUUAACCGUUUUUGCGAUUAUAAAAACUGUUCAAAGGUCUUUUCUUCUCCUUCUCCAGUUACCCUUUCACCGUUUUCGUCAUUGUUGCGCAGCCGAAGGUUUUUUCUGCCCUCAAACACUCAUUUUUUUUCUUGCUUUUCUUGUCAAAUCAAACCCUCAACAUCAUUUCUUAUCAAUUUUAGAACAAUUUCACCGAUUCAAAACUUCAAAUCAAGCCCAAAAUUUAAAAAUCCCAAAUUAAAACCCUAACUGCCGCGGGUCGGGUUUCUUCAUUUUUAAUCUGAUUUUUACCCUUCUUCAACCAAAUUGAACAUCCUACUCACAUCCUCUAUUCAUUCUUAAGCCAUUUAUCGAUUCAUUUUCUUCUCAUCACAUCUCUCUUGCAUUUUCCACACUUCAUUGCGUUUCUCCAUGGCUGAACCCUCUCGGAGAAAUCCCAGGCAUAAAAUAUGUGCCUCCAAGGAAUCCUAUACCACCACGGGAAGUCUCUGAAUUUUCACGCAUUCACUUCCCCACACCUUUCUUGGCCAAGCGGUUCGAAGAUCGCUUUAACGGUCGAAAGGUACUUGACUCCUUCUUUGUUGAUAUUGAUGAUUUCCGCAACUUAGUUGUAUGUGGUAGAAGCAUUAGGGAUAUGCUUCAGCCAUGGGAGGCUGCCAUUGACCUUGAUGACCUUGUUUAUCCAAAUUUAGUGUGAGUCUUUUAUUCGAAUAUGGAAAUUUUCGAUACUCGCCCAAAUAGGAUAGUUACUCAAGUUGGUCGUGUGCCAAUAGAGUUUGAUGAUGCGGAUCUAGCUGACUUUCUUGGUAUCCCUUGUGAGGGGCUUGAUAUUUACACCUCUAGGAAAACCCUUUCCUUUGACAGUUUUUCUCAUACUGAUGGCGUUCGUAAUAUAUGUCGUCGUCGAGACUUAUCGGAUGAGAUUUGUUUGCUUCCUUUUCAUUCUCAACUUUUACCUCUCCAAGUUCGUAUUCUUCACACUAUUUUACAGCACAUAGUGACACCUAGGAAGGUCACUCAGAUGAGGUUACGAGGUUGGACGUUGGCCUACUAGAUAGCCUACUUACAGACCGUCCCAUUAACCUCGGGUAUAUUAUUGUGCGGCACAUGUUGAGUACUCCCGCGGUCAAUCACCGCUUGCUUCCUUAUGGCAGUAUCAUCACUAAGAUACUGCAACGCUUUGAGGUGCCUCUUCUUGAUACUGGACAUAUGGAGACUAGACAGAUUGGUCCCGAGGCCAUGACUAGUAUCGGUUUCUCUAGGAAGAAUGAACAGUGGAUAAAGAUAAGCAACUCCAAAAACCGGGAUACCUUGAUUGCUCUAGAGGACGAUCGGAUGCUCAAUGAUAUCUAUCCUCCCGAUCAGCUUCCUGACUUUAGAUUAGGAGCUCUUCCUCAUCCUCCGUGUCGCCGUUUUGUCCCUCGGCCUCCAGCUGACUCAGACUCUGAUGAGCAUGCGAUGGAUGCUGACAUUCCCUCCUCUUCCGAGCCGCCUCCUGUUCCUGAGCCAUUUGCUGUUCCCGAGCAGCCAUCUGCCUCUAUGCCGCCUCCAGCUCCAGUUCAACCCCCUGCUUCAGACGUUGUGCAGCAGUUGAUUACUGAUGUUCAGCGGAUUUCGGAGCGCCAGCAGCUAAUUCUUGAUCAGUUGGACUCUGUUUCCUGUGACCACCAGCAGCUACAUUCUGACUUUUAGACCUUCCAGCAGCAGAGCAUUGACCAGCAGCUUGAGCUUAUCGCCGGACAGCGCACUCUUCUCCGCUAUUUUAGCUAUGAUCCGGGGAGCACAUCUUCUCCGCCUCUAUAGUUUCUGAGUUCUGUUUUCGCACAUACAUCUCAUAUUUUGGUUGUUUGCAUGUUGUCACUUCUAUUUUUUUAUACGUUGUUUCCUCUAUAUGCUCUUUCUGGAUUUUGAUGACAUAUAUUUGUGAUGCUCUUGAUGAUUGGAUGACUUGGUUAUUAGUUGAUGACAUUUGUGGUUUAUUGGCUAUUGAAGUAUUGGUUUGUUUGCUCAUGAAGUUGUUGGGUUAUUGAAAGAUGAAGUUGGUAUUAAUCUAUUUUGGAAGUGUUUUAAUCUCAUUUUGUACUAGUGGUUUUGCUCAUUUUUAAGGGGAAACUCUGCCAAAAUUUUCGCUCGCCAAAACCGGAUAACUUUUUUAAAGGAUGUGCGUCUUUUCUCUCUCUCUUUUCUUUUUGAUGAUGAAGGGGGAAAUAAUUGAGGAGAUUUAGAAUGAAUUUAAAAAUGUUUUCUUAUUUAGAAUGAAUUUUAAAAUGUUUUCUUGAGAAAAAAUUUUUUUUUGGACAUUUCUAAAUUUGGCCAUACAUUUAGGGGGAGCACAUACUAAGGGGGAGCUUAUUAUUGAUUGAAUGAAGUUUGUCAUCAUCAAAAAGGGGGAGAUUGUUAACAUGAAUAUGUUAAUAAUAUUGAUUUUGAUGAUAACAAACUUUAAAUGGUUCUUUGAUAAAAAUGUUGGAGCUAUUCCUUAAUAAACAAAACCCUUAAUAAUCAUUCCAUUCAUUUUUUCAUAAAAGAUGGACUUUCAAAUUAGAAAAAGAUUCUCUGCAGAAUUUGGUUUAAAAUGUAAUUCUGGACAUAAAUGGUAAACCGUUUUCCUUUAAACGGUUAAUCGAUUAAUACCAGAGAGCAACAUAUUGCCUAAAGCUCUAACCGUUUAUGAAAAAUGAAAAACACAAAAGAUGGGAAGGCUACUGGAACUUAACGGUGAACCGUUUAUAUUUAAACGGUUAACCGAUAACAUCCAGAAUCAUUGAUUAACAAAACCGGUUAAGGCUGAAUUGUUUUGCAGGUUACUGGAGACAAACGGCGAACCGUUUAUUACAAACGGCGAACCGUUUAUUACAAACGGCGAACCGUUUAUUACAAACGGUUAACCUAUAACAUCCAGAGAAGUCACUUCAUGCAAAUCCUUAACCGUUUAAUAUAAACGGAUAUUAAGACUGAAUUGUUUUGCAGGUUACCAGAAACAAACGGCGAACCGUUUAUUACAAACGGUUAACCAAUAACAUCCAGAGAAGUCACUUCAUGCAAAUCCUUAACCUUUUAUUGUAAACGGAUAACUGAUGUUCAUCUUGCAGGUCCCUGGAAAUUAACGGCGAAAGGUUAAUCCUAAAUGGCAAACCGUUUAUUUGAAAUUUGGCCUAACAGUUACUUUUGACCAGCCUAAACGGUUAACCGUUAAUAGUUAACGGCGAACCGUUUUUGGGCCGACAGUUUGUAACGGCUAGUUUUUUAGCUCCAAAUAUAAAUAAGCUCAUUCAAAUUCAAAGAAGAUUGAUCACAACACGACCAUUAAGCUAAUAUUCAAGAAUACAAUCUUCAUAGAGCUUAGAACACAUUCUUGCUUCAUCUAUUCACAUAUUAAGCAUCAUUGUGUAAUCCUAUAUAUUGUGAGAGGCAAAUCAAUUUGUAAUCUUUUACUUUGAGUGAUUGUAAGUGUUGGGAUACACUUGGGUUAAGAGAUUGGGGAUAAUCUCUUGUUGUAAAGGUUUAUUGACACCUUGGAAGUCAAGUGUAAGCAUUUGAAGCCUUGGAGGCUUGCUUAGUAGAAUCCUCAAGCCCGGGAAGCUUGGAGGCGUGGACGUAGGCGAGGUUGGCCGAACCACGUGAAAAUCUCUGUGUUUGAAUCCCUCUUCCCUUAUCUUUUUAUAUUGUGAUCAACUUAAUUGUUAUUGCUUUGAAUUUGGAUUAUAUUUGCAUUAAGUUUUUCUUUAUAAAUUGAAUAAUUUUUAGAAUCCCAAUUCACCCCCCCCUCUUGGGUUGCAUACUUGUAUUUCAAUGUGACCGUUCGACUUCCAAGCAUCCAUGAAUCCUUGUUGCUAGGCUUUGGAAUCCUUGACGACCUCCGCGGCGUGCCAGGGACGUAAUAAGGUUACUUACCCAUCUGCAUUCUAAAAGAAGCAAUAAAAAGAUAGAUGAAAGCCAAUAGUAAAAAUGAAUAAAAUCAGUGAGAUAUUUAGAAAUAAGGUUUCAAAUCUCCAUCGGUGGUGAGUUCUACCAGCUAAAUCAUGACAACCAACACCGAAAUCAGCCAAAACGUCUGCUACAUAGACAAUAUACAAAUGUAAAUGCUCAAAUUAAAGAGAAUUUAUGCAAGAAGGCUUUGGGGAUUUUUUUUCCUCCAUAUUUUGCAGCACUAUGAUGGCCAUGAUAUUUACCAUAUUUUCAUGAAAUAAUGGCAAAGCUCUUGGCUCAUAAUUGACUUAAUUGAGAAGCUUCAAAAUCAUAUCUCAAGGAUCCUUAUGUGACCCUCAUAUUUUUUUUAAAUGCACCUGAAGCAUCUACAGGGCAGUAGUGGCCACCCAUUCACAAUUAUUAUUAUGUAUAUAACCACAGUUAUUGGUUAAUCAGUGAGCCAUCGGACCCAUGCAAGCUCUCCCGUUAUUCACGUAAUUGAACUAUAGACCUUAAUCCGUCUUCUACCACUCAACAAUUAAACAUCAGCCGUUGAUGCCUCAUCCACUAACCCCGUUGUCACCGAUGGCUACUUGAAUUUAUAUGUAUUUUCAUAAUAUAAACAAUUGCUAAUCAUAUAUAUUGUGUUAUACCUUACUGGAAGCAACCACAAUCAAAAGACUAGCAAAAGCUCCUUAAUUACUUGCGCAGAAGCUAGCAGAGAUAUUUUCUGAUUUGAAGAACAUGGAGACUGUUUAUGCAAGUAAUUCAUCAGGCCAUAUUAAGUUGAAUUGCAUUUAUAAUUCGUACAUUAAUAUAUGCCUUUACGAACAGGUUUUCUGAUUUGAAAUUUUCAGGCAAUAAGGAAUGGUUGGAGGCUAGCAUCGCUCCAUUUCAUGGCUGUAUGAUUGAUGAUGGGAUUGGAAAUAACAAUCUUGAUCUCCUUGUAGCCCCUCAAUAUGGAAGAAACCCUGAUGAAUCUGGUUAAGGGCAGUGUUAAAGUAAAAGGAUGUCAUGGGCACCAUAGCCAGUAAAUUGUGUGAGUGCAGUUCGGUUUGCUUCAUUCCGAAUAAUAAGAUCUCUUAGAAUAUACAAGAGAUUUUCUUGUUCACAUCUAUGAACUUUGUUUUCUUUGAACUAAAUAAAUAAAACUGCUGUGUGUCAGUUUGCUAUUCAAAUUAAUCAUGAUUAUGCUCUCUCUUCUUAAAUACCUUUUGCUACAAACUGCAUUUACUAAUUUAAAUAGUGUUAGUGAUUCCUCCAAUGAUGCAGUUUCUUCACUCUCAAUCAAUAAAAAAAAUGAGAUUGGUACUAACCUUUUUCUUUUUAAAAAAAUAAACCUUGCAAAUCAAGGAAAACUUUUUUUUUAAAAAUAAAAAUAAAAAGCAUAAAAAACCAAUACAGGUCGGGCGGACGAAAUAAGCCUGACCCUUAAAAAGCUGCAUAGUGCUAAAAUAAAUGAAGAACCAAGGCUCUGUAAAAGAAGCAACCAAAAAAGAGAGAUGAGAGCCAAAAUCAAAAAAGAAGAAAGCCAUUGAAAUCUAUAGUUGGGGAAACCAUUAGCAUCUUUAUAAAUAACGCUUCCAGUUUCAACUGGCGGUGAGCUCCAUCAGCUAAAUUGUGACAAUUGACACUAAAAUCAGCCAAAGUGACUACAACAUUAUUGUUCUCUCGGUAUGUGAGGGAAAAGAAAUUAAAAACUCAUUAAAAAGUCAUACCCUACUAUCGUGCAAAACAAUUAUGACAAUUGUAUCACUGACUGCAAGGAGUCCAUCAUUUCAAUAAUUUCUUUUUCUGAAAAAUGCCAUUUCAAUAAUUUAAUGCUACAGCCAAAUAAUUUAUGUUUAUCCUUGAUUGGUACAUGAAUUAUUUUAUUGGUGAGAUUAUUUGUAUUUGAAAAAUUAUUCUGAAAAUUUAAUUUUUUUAAAAAAGUUAAAUUCUUUGAAUACCUAAUAUAUAAAUUAUUGUAAAGGACAAUUCUGUGUAACAUAAAAGAGUUUUCAUCUAUUUUUCAUUUAAGUUAGAUUUAAUGGAUUCCAAGAAAUCCUACCACUUUUAUCUGUAGCAAGAAAGGCAUUAACUCCUUUUUCUCUUACUUAAGGUGUUAUACUGGCAAGUUAAGAACAAACCAUUCAUUUGAUAUCUGAAUUCUUUUCCAACUUCAUUGAUAUUUAUAAGAACUGUUAAGAAAAGGAUGAAAAUGGCGCUCGAUUAAUAACCAAGAUUUGGCCAAACAAAAACAAGAAUAGAGAUAAACCAAACACCAAAAAGAAAACAAUGAAGAAGAUUUACGUGGUUCGGUACCAAGGUACCUACAUCCACGGCUGAAGAACCCAAAUGCGUGUAAAGCUUUAUUGCUUAAGAUUGAUUACAGCUAGACUACAAGUGACAGAGAACAAAUCUCUUUUUACCAAGAAUCCUAACUCUCAGUAGUAGCCAAUAAACUCAAUUGAAAAGAAUGCCCCGUGAUUAGCCUCUCCUCUGUGUUUUAUAUAGGUCCUGGUCAUAACGAAUUUACCACAUGCUGGCACACAAUAAGCUGACUCACCGUGCCACCUCAUCAGUAACUAAACAGAAUGUAACUAACUUUCGGCUUCACAAAUCUCCACCUUAGUUCAUUCUGAAACAACUUCACCUACCUCUUCAACAACUACUAACUCGGUUUACAAGCUAUCAACACCAAUCAAGUUCAGAGAGUUUCUAAACUUGACUGCAGGGACUGCUUUAGUUAAAAUAUUUGCUGGAUUAGUCUGAGUAGGAACCUUGACAACAUUAACUACACCAUUUGCAAUUUCAUCCCUGACAAAAUGCAACUUAACAUCAAUGUGUUUUGUUCUUUCAUGAUAUUUAGGAUUCUUACUAAGCUGAAUUGCACUGGAGCUGUCACAGCAAUGCAAACCGAAUCCUGUUUCAACCCAAACUCAGAAACUAAUCCACUUAGCCACUUUGCCUCUUUUACUACUUCUGUCAAUGCAAUGUACUCAGCCUUAGUUGUGGAUAAAGCAACCACCGACUGAAGAGAUGCUUUCCAACUCACUGCCCCUCCAUUUAAAAUGAAAACCUAUCCUAUAAUAGACCUUCUCUUGUCCAGAUACCUUAACAACCACUUAACAUCAUUCUAAUGUUCCCUUCCUGAAUUCCUCAUAAACCUGCUAACAACCAUUACACCAUGAGCUAUGUCAGGUCUUGUACAAACUAUAGAAUACAUAAUGCUGCCAACUGCACUUGAAUAGGGCACUGUCUUCAUAUACUCAAGGUCUUGAUCCUCUUCUGGUUCCUGAAGCUUUGACAAUCUGAAAUGUGCUGACAGAGGUACUGACACAGACUUUGCACCACUCAUCUCAAAUCUACUAAGGACCCUUUUAACAUACACAGCUUGAGUAAGAAACAAGGUUCUCAAAUUUCUGUCCCUCACAAUUUGCAUUCCCAGAAUUCUUGUAGCAGUCCCCAAAUCUUUUAUUUCAAAUGCAAAAUUCAACUCCAUUUUUAGCCUUUCAAUCUCCUCUCUCAUUUUGUAUGUAAUAAGCAUGUCAUUAACAUAAAGAAUGAGGUAAAUACCAUCUCCAGAAGAUAAAGUUUUAAAAUACAAGCAACUAUCAUAUUGGCUUCUGCAAUAUCCAUGGCUGAUCAUGAACUCAUCGAACCUCAAAUACCACUGCCUUGGAGACUAUUUCAGCCCAUAAAAGCUCUUCUUCAACAAGCAUACCAUAUCUUCAGUCCCUUCUUCAAUGAACCCCUCAGGCUGAUCCAUAAGAAUUUCUUCUUCAAGACUCCCAUGUAAGAAGGCAGUCUUUACAUCCAUUUGAUCUAAUUCCAGGUCUUUAAAUGUUGUUAUUACUCAUACAACUCUUAUGGAAUUAUAUUUGACAACAGGGGAGAAUACCUCAUUAAAGUCCACUCCAUGCUUUUGUGUGAACCCCUUUGCUACAAGUCUUGUCUUAUACUUGGGAGGCUCACCAUCAGCAGUCCCUUCUUUAAUUUUAUAGAUCCAUUUUUAUCUUAAGGUUUUGUCUUGAGGCUCACCAUCAACCUCAAGAUAAAAAGGCUCACUAUCAGCCUUUUAUCUUGAGAUUUCUUGACCAAAAUCCAUGUGUUAUUCUUCUUUAGUGAGAUGAUUUCUUCAUUCAUGGCAUCCAGCCAUUUUGCUCUAUUUUACUGCUCGUAGCUUGUUUGUAGUUUAUAGGCUCUUCACCAAUAACUUCCUUAGCUAUUGCCACAACAUAAGAGAUCAUAUCAGCUAUGCCAUACCUUUUGGAUAACUUAAUGAAUCUCAUUUCCCUAUCUCUUGUAAGCUUAUAAUCAUGUGUUUGAGAAGUGAUGUGUGUUUUCUGAUAAGACUUGGAAUCCCUUUCUGCAGCUCUUUUAUCUUCACUUGACUCCACCUCAAAGUUGUGUUCCUUAUCCUCAUUUGAAUCAUAUGUAAUGAGCUCUAUUUCUACUCUCUUAUGUAGCAUAAACUCUUCAUCAAACACAACAUCUCGGCUAAUAAGAGUUCUUGUAGGUUUGCCAUCUAUGCACCAAAGCUUAUAUCCUUUGACACCCUCUAGAUAUCCUAUGAAGUAACCCUUAACAGCUUUUGGCUUUAACUUUCCCUAGUUUAUGUGAGCAUAAGUAAGGCAGCCAAAAACCCUGAGGUUGCUAAGAUCUGGAGGCUUUCCUGACCAAACUCCCUGAGGAGUCUUGAAAUACAGGGCUGCUGAAGGGCUCCUAUUGACUAAGUAAGUUGCAGUGGUAACAGCUUCUACCCAGAAGUGUUUUGAAAGGUUUGCAUUAAACAACAUGCACCUUACCUUUUCAACUAAUGUCCUAUUCAUCCUUUCAGCUAACCCAUUUUGCUGCGGUGUGUGCCUUUAGUUUUGUGCCUGACUAUCCCUUUCUUGAUGUAGAGUUGAUCAAAAUCAUUGCAGCAAUACUUAAGCCCAUUAUCUGUCCUUAGCCUCUCCACCCUCCUCUCUAUUUGAUUUUCUAUUAAAGUCAGCCAUUCUUUAAACUUUUCAAAAACCUCAUUCUUCUGCUUCAGUAAUAUACCCAGACUUUCCUUGAAAAGUCAUCAAUAAAAGUAAUAAAGUAUUUGGCUUCUCUAUAAGAAGGAACCUGAGAGGGCCCCCACAGGUCUGAAUGGAUAUAAUCCAUUGUAUUUUUAGUCUCUUGUUUUCCUAGAUUAAACUUCUGCCUAGUUGCUUUACCAAACACACACUUUUCACAGAAUUCAAGUGCUGAAAUUUGGUCAGUUCCUAGUAAUCCUUAUUUACUCAACUCUUUUAAUCCUUUCUCACUCAUGUGUGCUAGUCUCAUGUGCCAAAGCCUGGUUUUAUCACUACUUACAUUGGUAAUAAAAUCAGGUAACACAACUGAGCCAUUAAGCACAUACAAUCCAUUUCUCCUACUACUUUUCAUUAUGACUGUACCACCUUUAAGGAUCUGAAGUUACCAUUUUCUGCCCUUAUAUAGCAGCCCAAUUGGUCUAUCAUUCCUAAAGAUAUGAGGUUUCUUUUAAGCUUUGGAACAUAUCUUACUUGUUCCAAACUUCUGACUGUACCAUCAUACAUUUUAAUAAUAACAUACCCUAUUCCAGCAACUUUACAGGCUAGAUUAUUCCCAAGCAAAACUUUACCACCAUCAACAUUUUCAAAAGUCACAAAGAAAUCUUUAUAUGGGCACAUAUGGAAAGAACACCCUGAGUCAAGUAUCCACUCACCAAAAGAUUUCUUAUCUACUACAAUAAGAAUAUACUUAUCUUCUGAUUCUCCUUCAUCUACAAAUAUAAUAUCAGCUUUCCCACUUGAUUCUUUCUGUAACUUUUCAAGCUUCUUUUUUUCAAAACAGUCUUUUAUAUAAUGCCCUUCCUUUUGACAGAAGUAACAUUUCCUUUUCUUUUUCUUCUUGUCAGUCUUUUCUUUCUGAUUUUUAUUCUUCUUGUCUUUGUUCACCUUUUUUCUCUGUCUUUGCUUUGGCAACUAAUACAUCCCCAACAAUAUGAUCCUUGCCAUCUGCUCUCCUUUUCAAGUCUUUUGAUUCAAGAGCAUUCUUGACAUCUUUCAAGGUGAGAGUCUGUCUUCCAUGGAGCAAAGUGUCCAUGAAAUGUUCAUAGGUGUCCGGUAAUGAGCUUAACAGGAUAAGAACCAUAUCUUCAUCAUCAAGUAUGAUGCUGACAUUUUCAAAAUCGAGUAUCAGUUUAUUUAACUCAUCAAGAUGAUCCUUCAUGAUUGUGCCCUCCUUUAUUGAAAAUGUGUAGAGCUUCAUUUUUAUGUAUAAUCUUUUAGCUAGAGAUUUCUUUAAGAAAAUUUCUUCCAACUUCGCCCACAACCCAGAGGCAGUCUUCUCUUUGGCUACUUCUCUCAACACCUCAUCAGAUAGGUGGAGUAUAAUUGUGCUGUGAGCUUUGUUGUUUUUGGUCCUCAAGUUUCCAUCUGAACCUGACGAACCUUCCUCCUUUUCUUUCUUGGACUUUGAUUCAUCAUCAUCAUCGAGGGCACUAUCUAAGCCUUGUUGAAUCAAGAUGGCUCUCAUUUCAGACUCCAUAAGUAGAAAUCGUUUGCACCAUUAAACUUUUCAAGAUCAAACCUAGUGGCUGCCAUUCUUGAAGAUCAAGAACAGAGAGUUUAUUAGCUCUGAUACCAGUUUGUUAAGAAAAAGAUGAACAAAGAUAAACCAAGAUUUGGCCAAACAAAAACAAGAACAGAGAUAAACCAAACACCAAAAAGAAAAGCUUUAUUGCUUAAGAUUGAUUACAACGAGACAACAAGUGACAGAGAACAAAUCUCUUUUAACCAAGAAUCCGAACUCUCAGUAUUAGCCACUAAACUCAAUCGCAAAGAAUGCCCCGUGAUCAGCCUCUCCUCUGUGUUUUAAACAGCUCCUAGUCAUAAUGAAUUUACCACAUGCUGGCCCACAAUAAGCUGACUCACCGUGCCACCUCAUCAGUAGCUAAACAUAAUGUAACUAACUUUCAGCUUCACAAGAACAAAAAAAAAAAAUUGUCUGAUUAGCUUCUGGUUCAUGAUGAUAGAGUAUUGAUGAAAAAUUUGUUGAAGUGAGUGUCCUCUAAUAGCCACGCUGAUUAAUUAAGAUGCAAGAAAAAUUACUCAUUGUCUAUUAUUGAAUAAAUUUUAAUUCUUAUUUGAUAAUUUUUUUAAAAAAUUUUGAUCAAUUGUUAGUUGGUUGUCGAGAGAGAAUAUAAAGGUAAAGUGAAAAGAGAUUUAAUUUAGGAUAAUUUUGUUAUUUCUAAGAAAGUAUGUUGAGUAAAAACUUAUUUUUAGAAUUUGCAAUAGGUCUCUUUUGAGUAAAAACUUAAUUUUAGAAUUUUCAAUAGGUCUCUUGAGUGAAACAGUAUUCUAAGUGUGAAAACUAUAGGCAAACGAUAUCGAAAAUGUAAAUCCACUCUCGUAUUAUUCAAGUGGCGAGCUCAAAGACCAAGUUAUACAAGAAAGUAGAUGACGUAAAAGGAACGUAUCAAUCACCAUGAUUUGAGGUUUUUUCCUCAUAUUUGCAAUAUAAUGUCAAUGGCCGUGAUAUUUACCAUAUUUACAUGAAAUAAUGGCAAAGGUCUUGGCUCAUAAUUGAUUUAAUUGAGAAGCUUUAAGAUCAUAUCUCAAGAAUCCUAAUGUGAUCCUCCUUAUUUUAUUAAUGCACCUGAAGCAUCUGCAUGGCAAUAGUGGGCACCCAUUCACAAUUAUUAUUCGGAACUUAACUGCAUUAUUGGUUAAUCAGUGAUCCAUUGGACCUCUGCAUAAUUGAACGAUAGCUGUUAAUCCGUCUUUUACCAAUCUACAAUUACAUAUCGGUGGGCGGAACCAAUAUUUUAGUUUGUAAUUGCCGUGAUAUUUUACAAGUUACGAGUUUUCUUGAAAAUUUAAUUUAAGGCCACCGAAAUGUAUCACAAAUGACAAGUUUCCUUAAUUUUUUUUCCUUAUAUUUCAUAAAUUUUCAAAAAGUUCGCAACCAUCAACUUGUACAUCGUUCCGACUAUGAUCAUCAACUUACCCCGUUGUCCCCCAGAGCUACUUGAAGUUAUAUGUAUUUUUAUAUCAUAAAUUAUUUCCAGUGACAUGUUAUGUGUUUCAUGUCGGCUUCUAGUGUCUAUAUAUUAUGUUGUGUAUCACAGGUAUUUCAUUGGGACAAGUUAAGUUUUUAAUUCCUUUUAUAAUUCAUAUAUAAAUACAUGCAUUUAUGAAUAAGGAUUUGAAAUUUUUAAUGUUCGGAGAUUAGCAUUACUCCUUUAUUUCAUGGUUGUGUAAUUGAUGAUGGGGAGGCAAAUGAGAAUCUUGAGAGAAAUCGUGACGAGUCUGGUUAAGUGGAGUGCUAUUCUUUUGUGUUAUAUUUUAUUAUAUAAAAGGAUACAAUGAGUCGUAUUACAUGUCCAUUGUGUGAGUGCAUGUCGGUUUACUUCAAUUAUAUAUAUAAGAUAUUUUCUUGUUCACAUCUAUGUAUGUUAUUUUCCUUAAACUAAAUAAUUAAUACCCAGAUGGGUAAAUGAUCUAAUUACCACCCUUCUUUUUUUUUAGGAGUUCAAAAAUACUAUGAUGGCUCCGUUGUUUUAUAUAUUUAUUUCUUUUGUGAUUCAGCAAUCCCAAAGUUUGUUUUCUUUUUUCAAAUCAAAUAAAAAAAGAAAUAAAUCAAAAAUAAUCUUCUUUUUUUUUCGUACUCUUUCAUACCAUAAAUCUUGUUAAUUGUUAAGAACAUUCUGGCGUGAAAAAGGUGUGUGGCAUUGCAAUAGGCCUCCGAUAGGUAAGAUAAACUCGGAAUAUCCCUUCUUUAUCUAAUACUAUUGCUUCGAUACAUAAUCAAAUAUUUUGAAAAAAAAAAAACACUAACAAUUUUCAUAUCGAAUUCGAAGUGCCAUGCUAUUAUUACUUAAUAUUAAGAAUUCAUAUGGCGAAGGCAUAGUCUUCUUUUUUCUCUCUCAAUUUAUUGUGAGUCACUAAAUAUCAGUUUGUUGUUUAAGUUACUCAUGAUUAUGCUCAAUCUUCUUGAAUACUUUUUUCAAACAAACCUCAUAUGUUGGUUUAUUAAUUAAAUACUGUUAGUUAAUCCUCUUCAGUUAUUUGUGGUUUCUUCACACUCAAUCUUUAAGGAUAAAAAAAAAGAGAUUAAGCCUCCUCUUGAGAUUAAGGUUGAAAUGCUAUAAGCAAUUUAUUUCAUAAGUUUUUGACAAAAAUAGUGUUUGGUAAUUUUUUUUAAAACUAUUUAUUUCAUAAGUUUUUGCAAUUUGACUGAAACUUUUAAAAAUAGAUAAAAUGUUUUUUUUUAUAAACAACUUAUUAAAUAAGACAUCACACAUUUUUAAAAUUCCUAUUAUAACCUUAAUAAUUUAAUUAAAAGAGGCAAUAAUGCUAUGAUUACUCAGUUUUGAUACUUAGGACUUGUGUGUCUAAAGUCUUAGUUUGACUUAAGUUAAGAUGUUUUGGUAUUUUUGCUUGUUUGUUUUUAUAUCUGAAGUUUGUUUUAAAAAAAUUUCAUUCGAAUGAAAUAGGGCAACCGAAAGCAUGUGGUGCACAUCCUCCAUUUUUGGUAACUUUAGAUCGCAAUCUGUUAGUUAUUUCGCACAAAAUUUAGUCUGUCAUUGCUCCAGGAUUGCUACAGCAACGGCUAUAACAUCUUCACAUUUUCAAACUUGUUUUACUUCUUCUGCAGCCAAGUUAUUCUGCCAUCUUUGCAGGUGUGUUGCAGCCGCUUUCCAUCCCCGAAAAUUGAGCUUUGUAGUUACAUACAAUCAUGCAUAUAAUCUAAGCACAAGAUGAUCUAAAACAAAUUCAAUUUAUUAAAAAUAAAAUAAAAUGGAUGCUCAUGCAAAAUGUAAGUAAAAUGCGAUAAAAACACAUCAUUUACUCUCACAGUAUUAUUGAUUUAAGUUUAAAAGUACCAUGAUAACUCUCAUUCCAUAGAGCUGUCAUCUGACUCUCACUCAAAGUCUGCUCUGUAUUAGAGACCUCACUAGAAUCAAUGUUGUUCAACUCAUUUUCUCUAGAUGAGGUUGAAGCCUCAGGAGACAUUCUCCUAAUGUUGUCUCUAACACUGAUAUCACCUAUAGCUUCUAGGGGAAUUUUCGGGACGAAAACAUGUUUCCUAAAUAAACUAGGCAAAAACUCUAGUUCAUCAUCAUCAAUCUCAUUCACUUUCUCUCUACCGUUUGACAUUUUUCAAAUAAGCCUAAAGCUAGUACCAAAAGACCCACAAAGCCAAGGAAAAAUAUUAAAAUUCCCAGUGAUGAAGUGCCAAAAAAAAAAAAAAGAACCUGAGGCGAGGAAAGAUUAGAACUAAGGCAACAUUUACGGCUUGUUCCCCAGUGAGAUAAAACGGCUUGGUAAUUGGAAAAAGCCAAAGAGAAAAAUAAGAAAGAUGAAGUGAUUUGGGAAAUUAGGAAUUUUAAGAAAAUGGAAGGUUUUAAUCAGCGUGUCAUUUAAGAACGUGUGCCUCGAGGGUGCUAUAACUGCUCGUUCGAAAUUUAAAUGCCUACCCCAACGUGUGCCACAUCACAUGUAUUUAAAUCAAUGCGACCACUUGAGUGAAUAUAUGCCCACCGGUCAGGAAAGUGAAAAAUACUUUUAGCAGCCUCCUAUUAUAAGAGUCGAGUAGCCAGACUGGUCAAUGAAGUUUAUUAAGUUUUUAGUUUUGAUUCGUUUCACUCUCAGCACUAGAAACUGGAGGACUGGUCUUUGGCUGAUAAAGAGGCCAUUGUUGAAUAUUCACUCGAGCAUAAUGUGCUCUCCACGGUAACAAUUCCUUGAGAAGGGGAACAUCUAGUCGAGUAUGUGUGGUUAGCUAAGGUACUUUCGAGAAGAGGACGAGUCAGGUCAAUUCAAAGACCUAAUCAAAGGGGCGACCAGCAUGUCCCCACGAAGAAUCCAGGUACGAAGCCCAUUUACUAGUAAUUACACUGCCCACUCAUCAACGGUUACACACUUUCUAUUUACCCAUGAUUGCACUUUUGAGCCAACAAUGAUCGUGGGGGAGAGGAAGCUGAUAACACCAGUUUGGUAUAUAAGGUACAGAGGACUGAGGUAAAAGGAUUAUACAUUUUGUCACUUGAAUCUCUAGAACUUACUCUCCCUCUAUUUUUCAAUUUCUCUCAAUUAUCUUACUUUCUUCCUCAGAAUUAAUUCUUUUUAUUUAAAACAAUUGUAAUUAGGUCACGUGAUUGGUGGCACAAGUUUUUCUAAGUAAACCUAGAUUACUGAUUUGAGCGUUGGAGAGUUUAUGUUGGAAAGACCUCUGGUGUUCCCUAACUGGUUAUUGUGAACAAAGGCGUCUUAGGAGGAAGAGUUCGAGGUUGCAAGAGACCGUUCGAUAAGAAAGAAAAAAGAGCACGACCGUCUUCCCAACAACUACAAAUUUAAGUGUUGGCGUGAUUGUCUGGUUGCUACGCAACCUGACCAAAAUUCAACAUCAACAAUAUCAGUUUACCUAAUACUUCAUUCUUCAUUUGUUUGCCAGAUCAUAUGGAAGUAGCUUUGUGGUUUUUUGCUAAAAUCUUCCAGCUCUAUUCCUUCCAUUUUAUCAUAUUUUUGUUGCUGCUCUAAUUUUUUUCCUUACUACUUAAAAUUAAAUAUCCUUAAUUGCAUGCUUGUCUCAGCAUAAUGUCACCAUUGCCAUACUGAUAGUCUAGUCACUGGCUUACUGAUUCAAGGAAAAACAUACUGCUUUUUUAAGUGUUGUUUCGAGGUUAUGAUAUAUAAUUCUUGACUAGCCCUUUGGAAGUUGUGGUACCAUGGUUGAAGAAGUAAAUGAAUCGAGAAAGAAAUUAAUAUUAACGUAAGCCUUGCCGGUAGGACUAAGAAGGAAAGAAAGUGAUAAGAUUCCUUCGUUAAUGCCAAAAGAUCAGCCAACAAAUUAUAAAUCAUAUCUUCAAUCAGCAAAAGCAUCUCAUCAAAGCUACUUAUAUUAAAGACUCCUUGACAAGCUCUCAAACAGUCAUAAUAUCUCAUAAUUUAAUCAUUUUAAUAGAAGGUUCAUAAACUGACGUAAUUAUGUCAUUUCCUAGUUGCUACCUUCUCUUUGUAUAUAAAUUAGAAUUGUAAUCAUCACUAAGGUGUGUGCAAUAACAUAUUUCUUUUGCAAUUAUCUUGCAUAUUAUUUCUUUAUGGUAUCAGAGCUAGCUAUGGCUAACACCUUUUAAAUUGAGCCCAAACUCACCAUCCAAUCCUUCCACCAAUGCUCUAGCCUAUUAUCUAUCAAGCUUUCGAUGAAUAAUUUUCUUCUCUAGAGGUCACAAGUGCUUCCUCUUAUAAGAAGCCUUGGCCUAGAACAUCAUAUUCAUGAUGAGGCAACUCCAACGAAGAUGAUAAAUAUAGAUGGAAAAGAGGCUAGUAAUCUUGAAUUUUUGUCUUGGAAAAAUAAUGAUGGAUUACUUAUGACUUGGUUGAGAGGGAUGAUGUGUGAAGAUGUUUUAAGUUUAAUUGUUGGAGGAGAAACUUCUCGUGAAGUUUGGUUAUCUAUUGAAGAUCAAAUUUUGCCAGCUACCAAAGAGCAAGAAUCAUGGCUAAAGAUAAUAUGUACUCAAUCAAGAAGGGCAACAUACCCAUUGAUGAAUUUCUAAGAAAAUUCAAGAACCUUUAUGAUAACCUUGCUGCCAUAGGAAAACCGAUCCCAGACGAUGACAAGGUCUUCCAAAUUGCUAGAGCUCUUGGUCCAAAAUAUGCCGAUUUCAAAACGGCAAUGCUUGCUAAAACACCACUGCCCACCUUUAAGCAAUUCAUCCUUGCUCUUCAGAAUCACGAGCAAACUGUUGUUGUUCACAAGGAGGAAGAAAUAUCCAUUCUGGAUCAUAAUCAAGCCUUCUUUAGACAAAGAGGGAGAGGCCGAAAUCAAAGGGGAGGCAGACAUGGAGGUUGCAGUAGAGGUUCACAACAAAAUAAUGGAUCGAAAAAUGCUCAAAGCAACCAGCAGCAUCAACCACGACAGAAAAAUAAUAUUGAAACUAACAAAACAAAUCAGCAGAAUGUGAUUUAUUGUAAAAUCUGUGGUAAGAAAGGUUACUCAGCCGCUGUUUGUUGGGACAUGUAUAAAUAUUAUGAGGAUGAGGUUCCACAAGCCCUUGCGACUGUCAACUUGAACCAAAUUGACGAUCAAAUUUACGCUGACUCAGGGGCAACCUCUCACAUAAUCAACAAUCCAGGUAAAUUAAAGACAAUCGUUCCUUACAAAGGCCAUGAUAAAAUCUUUGUAGAGAAUGGACAAGGUCUUCAAAUAUCUCAUAUUGGUAAUACCUCUUUAAAAACUGAUUAUGGAGAUUUACAUUUGAAAAACGUUCUUGUGGUUCCAAAAAUUAAAAAAAAUCUCCUGUCAGUUGGACAACUUGCUAAUGAUUCUCAAUGUUCUUUUGUGUUUAAUUCUGAUAGUUUUUUUUUGUCAAGAAACAAAACCAAGUGGUAGCAAGGGGGCAUAAGAAAGGCAAACUAUAUGCACUGGAUGAAGUAAAUGAAACAGCUCUAAGCGCAAUAAGAGGAAAUACCACAGAAUCAAAUUUGUGGCAUAUGAGACUUGGGCAUCCAAGUAUUAAAGUCCUACAAAUUCUCCAUAAUAAUAGGAAAACCAAUAUUUUCAAAUGGACAAAAAUACCAAAAAUUUGUGUAUCUUGUCAAUUAGGAAAGAGUUGUAAAAUUCCUUUUUCUACUUCUAAUAAAAUCUCGAUUGUUCAUUUGCAUAAGAUACACUGUGAUUUAUGGGGUCCAGCUCCAAUUAACUCUAAUCAAAAUUUUAGAUUUUAUGCAUUAUUUAUAGAUGACCAUACAAGAUUUUCUUGGCUAUUUCCACUACAACGAAAAGCUAACUUCUUUGAUUGUUUCAUACGAUUUCAGAAACAGGUGGAAACACAAUUUGAAAGAAAGAUUAAAGUGUUUCAAUGUGACAAAUGGGGAGAAUUUUCUUCUAAUGCUUUUAUAAAGCAUCUUGAUGAUUGUGGCAUCAUAGGCAUAUUGCAGAAACAGCCUUAACUCUCAUGUUUCAUGCCUCACUUCCUCUCAAACUUUGGGCAGAUAUUUUUGUAGCCGCAACUUAUUUGAUAAAUAGGAUGCCGUUGUCUACACUUGAAAUGAAAUGUCCAUAUGAAAAACUCUUUAAAAGGACUCCUGAUUAUGCUGGAAUUAAAGUUAUUGGGUGCCAAUAUUUUCCUUAUUUAAGGAACUAUAACAAGACAAAAUUUGAUGGAAAAACUUUCCCAUGUGUUUUUAUAGGUUAUAGUUCAUUACAUAAAGGAUAUAGAUGCUUAAAUCCCAUGACUAAAAGAGUCUAUAUUUCUCGGCAUGUCAUUUUUUAUGAAACGACGUUUCCGUUUUCUAAUAAAAAUAAGUUUGUUGAAUGCAUGCAGGAACCAAGUCAACUUACAACGUUUCCAUUUUAUGAUGAAUGGCUAAAUUGUCCUAACUUAGUUAAAACCCAUGAUGUUGUGAAUCCUGCCCUUAGUCAAAAGCCACUUCCAUCUUUUCAAGAAGACCUCAUGACACCCACUCAAAUGCAAACUCCUUUGUCCAACUAUGACAGCCAUGUUAUUCGCACACUAGCUACAUUACAGGAAAAGCCAUAAGAUACUAUUGUUGCAGAAGAACAAAGCGACAACAACUUUACUGCCUCAUUAAAUGAAUCAAUUUCAGAAGAGCAAAACUGCAACAACACUGCCACUUUAUCUACCAAAGUAACCAACUCAGAUAAAAUUCAAACCGAGAACUCCUUAUCAAAUGACUUGACCAGCUUAGAUAGAACCCAGACCGAGGAUCCAUUUUCAACAAAUCAGAAAAAUUAUCCUGAUAUCUCUGGAAAGUUAUUAGUUGAUUUUUCGAGUUACACUAAAAAUCAACCAACCACCUUAUCUGACAUAUCAGGUAAUCCAAUCGUUGAUCUCACGAGACCACAACAAUUACAAACAAAUCCAUCAUCAUCUCAAAAUACUCAUUCCAUCAUAACCCGAUAAAAAACCAAAAACAAUCAUAACCUAGCGUUACAAGCCUCUCAAAACCAACCAAUUGAGCCAAAAACUUUAAAAUCGGCUCUCAAGAAUCCCAUAUGGGUUACGGCAAUGGAAGAAGAAAUUAAGGCUUUGCAUGACAAUAAUACUUGGCAUCUUAUUCUUCGUCUUAUUCACAAUAUUGUAAUAGGAUCAAAAUGGGUUUACCGGAUCAAAUACAAAGAAGAUAGGACGAUUGAUAGGUACAAGGCACGUCUCGUUACCAAGGGAUUCACACAAAUCUCAGGAGUGGACUUUGAUGAGACCUUUAGUCAUGUCGUAAAACCAACCAUUAUUCGACUGGUUAUGGCAAUUGUAGUGAGUUCAAAAUGGCCAAUGAAGCAAUUAGACGUCAAGAAUGCUUUUUUUCAUGGAAAAUUAAAAGAAACAGUGUACAUGGAAUAGCCCCCGAGUUUCAAAAAUCCUAAUCUUCCAUUAUUUGUCUGUAAACUAAACAAGUCCAUUUAUGGGUUCAAGCAAGCUCCACGCACCUGGUUUGAAUAUCUUUCUAAAGCAUUAUUUAAACUAGGCUUUGUUAAUUUUACAGGACAAGGGAGUACUCAUUUUGCUUUUGAUAUAUGUAGAUGAUGUUAUAAUAACAUAAAAUAACUCUUCUAUUAUUCAAUCGAUCAUCUAAACAUUAAGUACAAAUCUUGCACUGAAAGACCUUGGGACACUUCGGUAUUUCCUGGGGAUAGAAAUCAAAUAUUUCCAAAAUGGGGUAUUUUUAUCUCAAACUAAGUAUACACAAGAUUUACUAUCAAAGGCAAAGAUGCUUGAUUGUACUCCUUUGGAAACACCCAUGGCUAUAAAAACAACUACAAAUCUUGAGGACAGUGAACCUGUGAAUGCUACAGAAUAUCAAGGCCUAGUUGGUAGCUUACAAUAUUUGACCUUUACGAGGCCGGAUAUAACAUAUACUGUAAAUAAAGUAUGCCGGCGCUUCAAUGAUCCAACCAAGGCAGAUCUCAAAGCAGUAAAAAGGAUCCUUCAAUAUCUCAAAGGAUCAUUAAACUAUGGCAUUUGUUUUUUGUCUUAAAGUUCAUUAACACUAUACUCCUUUUCUGACUCUAAUUGGGCAGGUUGCCCUCAGACCAGACGAAGCACCACAGGCUAUUGUGUCUAUUUAGGAGCAAACUGCAUUUCUUAGAGCUCAAAGAAGCAAACUACUGUAGCGAGAUCAAGUGCCAAAGCAGAAUAUCGACCAAUGGCCACCACUGCAGCUGAGAUCACAUGGAUUCAAUUUCUUCUUCGCGAAAUUGGUCUCACAAUGAACAAGAAAACACUUCUAUUGUGCGACAGUAUGAGUGCUCUCUACAUGACCAAAAAUCAGGUCUUUCAAGCGAGGAUAAAGCAUAUCGAGCUUGACUUCCACUUUGUUCGAGAAAAGGUCGCGCGAGGAUCCAUCUUCACAAGGCAUGUACCUUCAUCACGACAAAUUGCGGAUGUGUUCACAAAACCAUUAAAAAAAUACCAAUUCCAAAACUGGCGCAACAAGUUAUGAGUCCAUCCCAUGGACAUUCCAAACUUGAGGGGGGUUGAUAAGAUUCUUUCGUUAAUGCCAAAAGAUCAGCCAACAAAUUAUAAAUCAUAUCUUCAAUCAACAAAAUCAUCUCAUCAAAGUUACUUAUAUAAAGGACUCCUUGAAAAGCUCUCAAACGGUCACAAUAUCCCAUAAUUUAAUCAUUUUAAUAGAAGGUUCCUAAAUUGACGUAAUUAUGUCCUUUCUUAGUUGAUACCUUCUCUUUGUAUAUAAAUUAGAAUUGUAAUCAUCACUAAGGUGUGUGCAAUAACAUAUUUCUUUUGCAAUUGUCUUGCAUAUUAUUUCUUUAGAAAGGACGAUACAGAAGCGUCCUUAACUAUAGCAUUAGCUUGUAUUUCAAAAUGCAAUAUGCACCAUCAGCGGUGUCUUUUUUAUUCAUGCUUGGGAAAUAGUGGUUAUUUUCCAAGGAAGAUCUGCAAGAACUCAAUAUUGUUUCUUAUGUUUUUUUGCAUAAUAUUUGCCAUGUCCUGAAAAACAAUGUUGCCUUAUUCAGGUUAUUAGUUUUGACAUAUUUGUAGAAUGUGAUGGUUUAACUCCUUGUUGCAGCUUAGUCUUAAAUUAGGACUUAAUUACAUCUCAUUUACAUUUGGGAUUUAAUAUGAAUAUGUAUUUGCAUAUACUAUUCUAUUUUACAUUUUUAUGUGCAUGUAUUGAUAUGGAUGAUCUCCCCCCCGCCCCCUUUCUAAAUUCUAUUCUGCUGUCGUCAUUCUUUUUCUCACCCUUCUAUUUAUUUAAUAACUUUUAUUACGACCUUUCUUUAGUUUUAAUUCUCAUUGGUUUAUGUAAUCUUCUCCGGAGUCAUUGAGGUUCAUAUAUAUAUAUAGAUAAAACUCUUCUUCAUAAUGAUUUUUAUUCUGACACUAAUAAAGAAAAAAGACUUUGGUUUUUUAAACAUUUCUUAAAAUAAAGAAAAGAAAUUCAAGAAACUUAUUAUGAGUUUGUAAAUUUGCAUAAAGUUCAUAUAUUAUUUUUUGAUUGGUUUGAGAUGUAUGCUUCAGAUAACAACAUUUCAUAUCCUUUUAAAGAAUCAAAUCCCAUUACUGUUAGAAAGAAAACCACUGAGUGGAACCUCUCUGGUAGUGGUAGAGUCAUAAAAUUUGAGCAUUCACCUCUUAGGAGUCUAAUCAUUGAACAUGGUGAGCCUCCUAUUGAGAUUAAAGCCUCACCCUAUAAAAUCCAUAAAGAUCCAGAAUUGGAUUUAGAUAGCAUUAUUCAACAGAAUAAUUUCUGUAAUGCUAAUCUAAACACAAUAGAAAAGCAGUUGACUAGAAUAGAAAACCAAUUCCAGAAGUCAACCAUAGUUGUUUCUCCUAUUACAUCAAAAUUGGAUUCUAAUAAAAAGCUUAAGGAGCUUAUUUUCAAACCUUUUCAGGUUUCGAAAACUAGCCAAAAGCUUGUACAAGAGUCAAAAUCAGAUUUUGCUAAAGCCAUUAAAGAACAACUAGAUAGAAUAGAAGCUUCUUCUUCCUCAUCUAGUAAAAUCCAAAUAGCCCCUGAUAGUGCCCAAUCUAGCAAAAUCGGUGUACUAGAACAAGACAAUGUUUCUAUAGCCUCUUCUGAUAUAGAAGCAUUCAAAGAAGAACCUGUUUCUAAAGCCAACAAAAUUCAUUGGGAAUUAGCCCUACCUACUGUCAAAUCUCUACAUGACCUUACCAUAGAUAACAGGCCUAGUGCAUUAAACCAAUCACGAUUUAAUGCAUCCUCUGUCUAUGAAUGGAAUAUUGGUGGUAUGUCGGAAUAUAACAUCCUAGGAUUGUUGCAACAGAUGACUAUGGCAGCUAAUGCCUAUAAAACUCAGUCGGGAACUUCUGACAAAGCCAUUGCAGAAAUUCUUAUUGCUGGUUUUACGGGUCAACUUAAAGGUUGGUGGGAUCAUCUUCUUACCAAACAACAACAAUUAGAUAUUCUUAAUUCUAUUCAAGUGGAUGAAAAUGGAGCCCCCAUUCUUGAUGAAUUCAAUAGUUCUAUUCAGGAUGCUGUUGCUACCCUGAUUCUGAGUAUAUCCCUCUAUUUCAUAGGUGACCCUUCUUAUCUUAGAGAUAAGAAUGCUGAGUUACUACAUAACUUGAGAUGUAGGAAAGUUAGUGAAUUCCAAAGUUAUAAAACCACUUUCUUCACUAGACUCUUUUUAAGAGAUGAUGCCAAUCACAUCACUUGGAAAGAGAAAUUCCUUGCAGGAUUACCUACCCUAUUAGGAGAAAAGGUUAGGAAUUCCAUCAAAGCCCUUUAUGACAACCGUAUUCCUUAUGACGAACUCACCUAUAGUGAAUUAGUCAGUUUUGUUAACAAGGAAGGUUUAAAGAUUUGUCAAGAUUUGAAACUUCAAAAACGUCUAAAAUGGGAGCUUAGGAAAUCUAAACAAGAAUUAGGCAGUUUCUGUAAGCAAUUCAAUUGUGACCCCUUUAAAACUUCUAUCUCUAAAGAUUGUAAUGGUAAGUGUUCUUCAAAACCUUACAAAAAACAUUACAAAUCCAAAAGUCAUAAAAAACCUUUCCAAGAUUUUAGAGAACCUCCUUAUAAGAAACCUUUGAGGCCUUAUAGGAAACCUAAUUUCUCUAAAAAGAAAGACUUUAGAGCCAAGCAAAAAACCCCUUUCAACUACAAAGAAGCCACAUGCUACAAAUGCGGAAAGAAAGGCCACACUGUAAAAUUUUGUAGAAUGAACAGAAAGCUCCAUGAGCUUGGCCUUGAUGAAGAAAUACUUUCUAAAGUAGCCCCUUUAUUGAUAGAGUCUUCUGACUCUGAGUCUUCCAUGACGGGAGACAGUGAACCUCUGCAGGUUGAUGAGUUAAUUGACUUAGAUACAUCUGUAUCUUAUGAUAGUGAUUCUGACCCAGAAUCCUACUUAAAGAAAAUCAAUGUGUUGACUAAGGAACAAGAAACUUUUCUUAAAUUGGUUAAACAUAUUUCUGAUCCAAAUCUUCAAAAGGAAUACCUCGAUAAGCUUUUAAAGACCUUAGAACUCAAUAAAGCAGAAACUUCUAAAACCCCAAUAAUUAAAAAAAAUACUUAUGGUCUAAUUGAAAUCUUGGACAAAAAGAAAACAAAGAAAACAACAACUCCCAAUAUCCAAGACCUUCAAAAAGAGAUUAAAGAAAUCAAACUUGAAAUAAAAGAGUUAAAAGAAAAACAAAAGAAUGAUUCAGAUACCAUUCAACUCCUUUUACAAAAAUAAUUAGAAGACAAUUCUUAUAAAGAAGUUGAAUCUGAUGGUGAUAAUGAACAAAACCUUGAAAACAUUGAAUCUGUACCCAAUGACAUUUUAUUUGUCUUAAAGCAAAUUACCACUCGAAAGUAUCUGAUUAAAAUCACUUUAAUUCUUUCUAAAGACUUUGAAAUUGACACCAUUGCCCUUUUUGAUACUGGUGCCGAUCUAAAUUGUAUUAAAGAAGACAUUGUCUCUAAAAGAUUUCAUGAAAAAACUAAUGAAAGACUUUCUGCAGCCAACAAUUCAAAAUUGAAAGUUAAAUUUAAAGUUGAAGCCUCAGUUCAUAAUAAUGGUUUUGAAUUCAGGACUUCCUUUCUUUUAACGAAUGAUAUCCAUCAUACUGUUAUAUUAGGAACUCCCUUCAUAAACCUUAUUACCCCUUAUACUGUCAAUUAUGAUAGCAUAUCCUUUAAAGCCAAGACAAAGAAACUUAUUUUUUCUUUUAUUGAAAAACCUAAAACAAGAAAUCUGAAUAUUGUUAAAGCUUGUUCUGUUUACCAUAAUCAAAUAAAUGCUCUCCUUAAAUCAAAACAAAAUGACCUAAUUUGUUUAAAAAAGGAUUUGAGUUUACAAAGAAUUGAAAAUCAAUUACAAAUAAAUUUGUAAAAAAGAAAAUCUCUGAUUUUAAAGAUCUCAUCGAAAAGGAAAUAUGUGUUGAUUUACCAUCUGCUUUUUGAAAUAGAAAACAACAUUUGGUGGAUUUGCCUUAUGAAAAUUCUUUUGAUGAAAAACAAAUUCCUACUAAAGCCUGUCCAAUCCAAAUGAAUAUGGAAUUGGAACAACACUGUAAAGAAGAAAUAAAAGACUUAGAGUCAAAAUGACUCAUUGUAAAAUCUAGAUCUCUAUGGUCUUGUGCCGCUUUCUAUGUCAACAAAAAUUCUGAAAUAGAAAGAGGAACACCUAGACUUGUUAUAAAUUAUAAACCUCUGAAUAAAGCAUUAAAAUGGAUUAGGUAUCCCAUACCUAAUAAAAAAGAUUUACUCCAAAAACUACAUUCUGCUUUCGUAUUUUCAAAAUUUGAUAUGAAAUCGAGAUUUUGGCAAAUUCAAAUUCAUCCUAAAGAUAGUUAUAAAACUGUUUUCACUGUUCCUUUUGGACAGUAUGAAUGGACUGUCAUGCCAUUCGGUUUGAAAAAUGCACCUUCAGAAUUUUAAAGAAUUAUGAAUGAUAUUUAUAAUCCUUUUUCUGAUUUUUGCAUUGUCUAUAUUGACGAUGUGUUAAUCUUUUCCCAAACUAAUGAACAACAUUUCAAACAUAUAAAGACCUUCUACCUUGCCACUAGAAAAGCCGGCUUAGCCAUUUCUAGUUCUAAAGUUUCCUUGUUUCAAACAAAAAUCAGGUUCCUAGGUCAUUACAUUUCCAAAGGAACCAGUACUCCUAUUGAGCGAUCUCUUAUAUUUGCUGAUAAAUUUCCUGACAAAAUUCUUGAUAAAACUCAACUGCAAAGAUUUCUAGAAAGUUUAAAUUAUGUUCUAGAUUUUUGUCCUAACAUCAACAGGAUGUCAAAACCCUUGCAUGACAGAUUAAAAAAGAAUCUUGUUGCGUGGACUGAUGAACACACUAAAGCUGUUAAACUAAUAAAAAAACUCUAUUAAAAAUAUUCCAUGUUUAUUUCUUGCUAAUCCUGCAUUGCCUAAAGUUGUUGAGAUUGAUGCAUUAGAUUUAGGUUAUGGAGGAAUAUUAAAGCAAAAAGAGAAUAAUAAAGAACAAAUAGUACAAUAUGUUUCUGCUCAUUGGAAUGAAUGUCAAAGAAAUUACUCAACUAUUAAAAAAGAGAUUCUUUCCAUUGUGUUAUGCAUUUUUAAAUUUCAAAGCAAUUUGUUAAAUCAAAAAUUUUUACUUAGAAUCGAUUGCAAAGCUGCAAAACAUGUUUUGGAAAAAUAUGUUCAAAAUAUUGCAUCAAAGCAAAUUUUUGCACGAUGGCAAGCCAUUUUAAGAGUUUUUUAUUUUGACAUUGAAUUCAUUAAAGGAGAUACAAAUUCCAUCCCAGAUUUUCUAACCAGAGAAUUUCUCCAAAACAGAUAAUGCCGCCCAAAAGAAAAGACAAGGGCAAAGCUGUUCUUAAAGACUCUGAGUCUCAAGCAACUUCCAAAGAACCCCAAUCAACCCCUUCUAAAGAAAAAUUACUUUCUUCUGCCAUGCCCAUCAAAUCUUGGAUUGAAAUGGUUGAAGAACAAGAAGCCCAAUAUAAAGCCACUACCUCUGAAGACCAGGUAAAAGAAUGGAUGAACUUCAUUACAAAGUCCCCAGAGCUUAUGCUCGCGUUACAAAAUAUUUCUCAAACUAAAGCCCUUUCUCAAGUUCCUGAGAAAGAAAAACAUGUUUCCAAAGGAAUUACAAAACCUUCUUCCUCUAAAGAAAUUGUUUCAUGUGAAAGCUCUUCUUCACAAAUUGUUAUUUCUCAAUCAAAGCUUUCACAAAAAUUAUCGGAUUGGUUUAAUAAAGCUUAUCAACAAAAUGUUUUAUCUAUAGAAGAUGGGUUUUAUCAUCUUGAUCCAUUUCAAGCAAUUUCAAAGAUUUUCCCGAAAGGCUGGUUUUUCAAACCAUGGGAUUUAUCAAAACCCCAGUCUUUCUACCAAAGCAUUCUUGAGUUCACUGAGUCAGUAAAGUUUAAACAUUUCUUCCUUAGUGAAGCUCAUUCUGAGCCAGCCUAUUCCACGGCUACCAUUCUUAAAGUCUUAAGCCCAAAUCAGUGGGGUGACCAACUCCAUAAGCCAAAAACUUUUCCCGCCAAUUUCCAAAGACGUUUAAACCAUUGCCUAACUUUCUCCUACUGGGAUUAUCAACAGGCCUGGUUUAAUUCAAAAAUAAUCGUCCAAAGCCUUCCAAAUUGGUUCCAAAUUUGGUGGAACUACUUUGGGCCCAAGCCCAGAAAUUUUAACCCCAAAUGCCAUCAAAUGUUUAAAUCUUUUUAAAGCCCAUUAUGUUCCUUCUAAGCCUGAGAAGAGGUUUCCUCCUUUUCUCUGUUUUUGUGCAAACUUUUUCCUUCCCUGGGUUUGGAUGUGGAAUUUCCAAUACCACACCAUAGACACCCAACUAGUCCUACAAAGAACCUUCAAAGUCAAAUGGUGGUCUAAAGUUGACGAAUAGUCAAAAUUAUCUGAAGCCACGAUCCAAUCCUGGCUUUCUUCAAGAGGCCUCCUUGCCCCAAGUAAAGACGUAACUAAAGCUCAAAGUACUUUCCUCGCCCAAAGGGCCAAAGCCCAAUCCUUGUUGGCUAGUGCCAAAAUCGAGGAUGAGUAUUUUAAAGUUAUGCAGCAACUUCUUGCUACAAGAUCUGAGCCAUCCGUUGCAAGUUCUUUAUCAAGCUCCUCUGGAGAAGCUGAGCCGUUCAUUUCCCUCAGAGAUGAAAACGAAGAUGACUGCUUCGGAAUAUUUUCUCCUUUAAAGCAUUAAAGCUUUGUAAAAAAAAAAAAAAAGAGUAAAGAUUGUCUUAUUUCCUUGUUGUCUUAUUUCCUUGUAGUUAUUACACUUGUAAUUAUCAAUUGAUUUUCCCUUUUGUAAUUAUCUUUUGUUAUUUUUCCUUUUGUAAUUAUCUUUUAUUUUUGGGGUGGUCCCCUGGACACAAGUGAGAGCGCACAUGUCUCUUCACCCAACUUUUGCUUUUCCCCUUAAAGUCAAAAGCACCUCCUUUAGUAAAAUCGUUUUACCAAAGCUAAAGGUCCCAGCCAUGUGAAGCUUCUCGAAAUUCUCUAAAGCUGUUGUUGCCUUUCGUGAUGUUGUCCUCUAGCUACACAUGAAGACAAAAAUCAUAAAGAAGAUGUUGUCCCUUACAUGAGCAGAAGGACCCGCUCCACCAACCUCGCAUGUGAAGCCACAGCCUCAUAAAGACUCUACAGUUUCGCUACAGACUCGCCACAGUUCAAGCUUCAGUUGUUUAAAUUCAAAGCUAUAUAAUUGUUUGAAAGAUAGAACAUUGCUUACAGAAAUCUUUUCUAAAUCUCUCUCUCUCUGGGAAAUCAGGAUCAAGACAUCAAGGAAAACUAUUCAUGUCUUGAAAUUUUCCCGUUCUACAAAAAUCUGUAAAUAAUUUUCAUUGUAAAGCUCUCGGAUCUAAGCAAUUAAUGUAAGCAUCUCUCAUUUAAUCUAUUUAAAGUUUAACUUCAAUUCAAUGCAUGUUUUAAAUUUCUGUAUUUUAUUUAAAGUUUUUAAAUUUCAUAAAACUGCUACGUUCCUCUAAGGCAAAGAGACUGGAUCUCUGUCCUUAGUUGUAUUUUCUCUUCUCCCUCCAUCUAUUCAGAAUACUAUUUCUGGGAUCCAGAUCUAGUAUUAUCUAUGAGCCUUUAGAUCUAUUACUAAGCUUGCUUAAAGAAAAUUUUUAAUAUUAUUUUGGUAUAUCGGCUGGAAAACAGAACGUGCGUGAUAUUGAUAUGUUCUAAGUCAGAUCUGGUCACAAAGGCAAAUUAAGUUCUGCAUCGAUCUGGUAACAACGCCACGUACUGAAAUAAUUCUAAAUUAUUAAUUGAAUAUUGAAGUCUAAUUUAUAAAUUUUACUAAAUUUACAUCCAUCCUUCGAUCCUAUAUUUUCCUUAUAUAUACACUUAAGGCGCUCACCAAUCCUCCCAAAAGCUUAAGUUGUUAGGAGAGGCGCUACUUUAUACUUAAGAGCACCCAGACCACCAGGUAACGUCUACACGUUUUGUGCCACAUCACCCACAUGCGUGGGGUAGGAGUCACCACAAGGGUGCGGGCCCCUAGCACACGUAGUCUGGGAUAUAUAUUAAGCCCAUUCCUCCCCCGAGGCUCGAACCCUGGAUGGCUCUAAUACCAAAAAGAAAAAGGAUCGAAGGAUGGAUGUGUUUUACAAGAAGAAAUUAUAAAUCAGAUCUCAGAAGCAAAAGAAAAUAACUAGGAUGAACAGAAUGUGCUAUGAUACGCGGUUGAUUGAUUUUAAUUAUAAUUAAAUUGGUAUGUGGCGUUUUUUCCAGAUCGAUGCAGAACUUAAUCUGCCUUUGAGACCAGAUCUGACUUAGAACAGAUCAAUAUCUCGCACGUUCUGUUUUCCAGCCGAUAUACCUAUUUAAUUAAUGCUUUACCAAAUUAUUAAGAAAAUUGAUACAAUUUUUAUGAUCGGGACGGCUUUAUCAAAUUUUAGUAGUCAAAUUUUAGAUAUUUGAAGUACGUGACUCGUUUACCGACAGUGCAGACCAGACUAACGCCUAUUCAGGAUCGCCUCUGAAAUUUACGUCGUCGAAUUCCCGUCGAUAUACUCAAAUAUUUUUACCAGCUUUAAGUAUUAAAGUUCUUUAAACAAGCCUAGCAACAACAUACAUCUAAAGGCUCAUAGAUAGUACUAGAUAUGGAUCCCAAAAAUAGUACUCUGAAUGGAUGGAGGGAGAAGAGAAAAAUACAACUGAGGAUUGAGAUCCGAUCUCGUUGCCUCAGAGGAACGUAGUAGUUGUAUGGCAGAUCUGAUACAGAUCAGUCUGCAAGUGAUGCUUUAAAAUAAAUUGUAAAAAUUUAAACUUACAUUCAAAGCUUUAAAAAAUAAAAUUACAAAUGCUUUAGAUAAAAUUGAAAAAUAAAUUGCUUAGAUUAAUUGCUUUCUUUAAAAUGCUUUAGGAAGGUUGAUCUAUAUAGAGAAGAAAGGGAAAAUUACAAGACCAGGAAAAAUUUCCUUGAGUUGUCUUGAUCCAGAUUUCCCGAGAGAGAGAGAGAGAGAGAAGAAGAAGAAAAUUGGAGAAGGAAAAAAUUCUGAGGAGUCUCAGUCUUCCUCUAGAAUAUAUACAGAAAUUUUUAAACUGUAGACUGUAUCGGAGCUGUAGCAUACAGUAAUCUUUGGAACUUUUUACUGUAGACUGUAGUGGAGCUGUAGCAUACAGUAAUCUUUGGAACUCUUCACUGUAGACUGUAGCGGAGCUGUAGCAUACAGUAAUCUUUGGAACAAGAUUAUACAAGCUUUGAAUUACUAGUAUAAUACGGGUGAAGAGACAUGUGCGCUCUCACUUGUGUCCAGAGGACCACCCAAAGAUACAUACAUAUACUUAAAAGAAAAUACAAUUGGAAAUUUCAAAAAUGAAUAUUUACCUCUUUUUUUUAACGAUAAUUACUUACAAUGCUUUAUUGGAGAGAAAAUUCCGAAACAAUCAUCUUCAUUAUCGUCUCCAAGUGAAAUGAACGGCUUUUCAUCAUCAUCAUCAUCGUCAGAGGGGUCUGCGACUGAAGACUUUGAUCGAGAGGUGAGGAGCUGCUCCAUAACUUUAAAAUAUUCUUCUUCUGUUUUGGCACUGGCCAAAAGAGAUUAGGCUUUGGAUUUUUGGGUGAGAAAGGUCUCUUGAGCUUUGACAGCCUUAGUGGUUGGAAGUAGGAAGCCUUUAGAAUAAAGCCAAUUUCGGAUUAGGGUAUCCGUUAAUUUGGUCUGUUCAUCAAAUUUUGACCACCAUUUGACUUUAAAAGUUCUUUGUAGAAUGAGCUGGGCUUUUUGGGUAUGAUAUUUGAAAUUCCACAUCCAUACCCAUGGAAGGAAGAAGUUUGUACAGAAACAGAGGAAUGGGGGAAAUCUUUUUUCUGAAUCAGAAGGGAUAUAGUGGGAUUUAAAGAGGUUUAAACAAUUUGUGGCAUUUGGAGUUAGUAUUUGAGGUAUUGGUCCAAAGAAGUUCCACCAAUGAUGAAACCAGUUUGGGAGGCUUUGAACGGUUAUUUUUGAAUUAAAGAAAAAUAACCAUUAAUGGGAUUUCUUUGGGUUUUGUAUGAAAAAUGUGUUAUACCACGCUUGUUGAUAAUCCCAAUAGGAAUAGGUCAAACAAUGUGGUAGAUGCAUUUGAAAAUUUAAAGGGAAAGUCUUUUGUUUGUGAAGUUGGUCACCCCACUAGUUUGGGCUCAAGACUUUAAGGAUAGUAGCCGUGGCGUAGGCUGGCUCAGAAUGGGAUUCACUGAGAAAGAAGUGUUUGAAUUUUACUGACUCAGUGGAUUCCAAAAUGCUUUGAUAAUAAGGCUAGCGUUUUAUCAUAUCCCAAGGUUUGAAAAACCAACCUUUGGGGAAAAACUUUGAAAUAGCUUGAAAGGGAUCAGUAUGGUAAAAACCAUCUUCCAUAGAUAAAAUGCUUUGGAAAUGGGUUUUAUCAAACCAAUCGGAAGUUUUCUUUGAAGGUGUUGGCUGGGAAAGAACAAUUUGAGAGGAUGAACUUUCACCAGAAACAACUACAUUUUGAGAAGAGAGUUUUGAAAUUUCUUUAGAAACAGAUUUUUCAACAUCUUCUUUAGGAGAAAUUUGGCUUUGAGAAAAACUUUGUAAAGCAAGCAUAAGUUCAGGGGAUUGAGAAAUGGAUUUCAUCCAUUUAUUUACCUGCUCAUGAGAGGCAAGGGCUUUAGAUUUUGAUUCUUCAUCUUCAAUCAUGUCAAUCCAAGAUUUGAUUGGCAUGGUAGAGGAAAGUAGCUUUUCUUUGCAAUCAAUUCUAAGUAAAAAUUUUUGAUUUAAUAAAUCGCUUUGAAAUUUAGAUAUGCACAAAACAAUAGAAAGAAUUUCUUUUUUUUAUAGUAGAAUAAUUUUUCUGGCAUUCAUUCGAAUGUCCAGAAACAUAUUGUACUAUCUGUUCUUUAUUAUUAUCUACUUGCUUUAAUAUGCCUCCAUAACCUAAAUCAGAUGCAUCAGUCUCAACUAUUUUAGGUAAUGCAGGAUUAGCAAGAAAUAAACAUGGGAUGCUUUUAACAGAACUCUUUAUAAGUUUAACAACUCUAGUAUGCUCAUCAGUCCAUGCAACAGGAUUUUUCUUUAACCUAUCAUGCAAUGGUUUGGCCAUUCUAUUGAUAUUAGGACAGAAAUCGAGCACAUAAUUUAAACUUCCUAGAAAUCUCUGUAAUUGAGUCUUAUCUAGGAUUUUAUCGGGAAACUUGUCUGCAAAGACAAGAGAAUGCUCAAUAGGGGUAAUGGUUCCUUUGGAAAUGUAAUGACCAAGGAACCUGACCUUAGUUUGAAACAAAGAAACUUUAGAACUAGAAACAGCCAGUCCAACUUUUCUAGUGGCAAGGUAAAAAGUCUUUAAAUGUUUGAAAUGUUGAUCAAUUCAAUGGGAAAAAAUCAACGCAUCAUCAAUAUAAAGAAUGCAGAAAUCGGAAUAAGGGUUAUAAAUAUCAUUCAUGAUUCUUUGAAAUUCCGAAGGUGCAUUUUUUAAACCAAAUGGCAUAACCGUCCAUUCGUAUUGUCCAAAUGGAACAGUAAAAGCAGUUUUGUAACGGUCCUUUAGAUAAAUUUGAAUUUGCCAAAACUCGGAUUUCAUGUCAAACUUCGAAAAUAUGAAUGCAGAAUGCAAUUUUUGAAGCAAAUCCUCCUUAUUAGGUAUGGGAUAUCUAAUCCCUUUUAAUGCUUUAUUAAGGGGUUUGUAGUUUAUGACAAGUCUUGGGGUUCCUCUUUCAAUUUCAAAAUUUUUAUUAACAUAAAAGGCGGCACAAGACCAGGGAGACCGAGAUUUAACAAUAAGUCCUUUGGACUCCAAAUCUUUAAUUUCUUCUUUACAAUGUCGUUCCAAAUAUGUAUUCAUUUGGAUCGGACGAGCUUUGGUAGGUAUUUAUUUUUCAUAAAAAUAACUUUCAUAAGGCAAAUCUACCAAGUGUUGUUUUCGGUUCCAAAAAGCAGAUGGUAAAUCAGUACAAAUUUCUUUUUCAAUUAAGGAUUUGAAAUCUAAAAUUUUUCUUUUAAUAAAAUCAUUUUGUAAUUGGUUUUCAAUUCUUUGUAAACUCAAAUCCUUUUUUAAACAAAGUAAAUCAUUUUGUUUUGAUUUGAGAAGGGUAUUGAUAUUGUUUUGAUAAACAGAACAGGCUUUGACAAUAUUUAAAUUUCUUGUUUUCGGUUUUUCAAUAAAAGGGAAAACAAGCUUUUUGGAUUUAGCUUUGAAAGAUAUACUAUCAUAAUUGAUAGUAUACGGGGUUAUAAGAUUUACAAAAGGGGUUCCAAGAAUGACAGAAUGAUGUAUGUCAUUCGUAAGGAGAAAAGAAGUUUUAAAUUCAAAAUCGUUGUUAUGAAUAGAAGCAUCAACUUUAGAACUAACAUUAAGUUUUGAAUUAUUGGCGGCAGAAAGCCUUUCUUUAGUUUUCUCAUGAAACCUUAUAGGGACAAUGUCUUCUUUAAUGCAAUUUAAAUCAGCACCAGUGUCAAAAAGGGCAACGGUGUCAAUUUCAAAAUCUUUGGAAAAAUUCAAAGUAAUCUUUAUCAAAUACUUUCUUGUGGUAAUUUGUUUCAAAAUAAAUAGAAAAUCAUUGGGCACAGAUUCAAUGUUUUCUAAACUUUAUUCCUCAUUAUCACCACCAUCAGAUUCUUUAUCAGAAUUAUCCUGAAGUUGUCUUUGUAAAAGAAGUUGGAUAGUAUCCGAGUCAUGCUUUUGUUUUUCUUUCAAACCUAUUAUCUCAAGUUUGAUUUCUUUUAUCUCUUUCUGAAGAUCUCGGAUGCUGGGUGUUGUUUUCUUGGUUUUCUUUUUGUCCAAAAUCUCAGUUAGAUCAUAAGUAUUCUUUUUAAUGAUUGGGGCUUUAGAAGUUUCAACUUUAUUACCUACUUCUAAGGUUUUUAGAAGCUUGUCAAGGUAAUCUUUUUAAAGAGUCGGGUCGGGUCGGAAAUAUGCUUUACCAAUUCAAGGAAAAUCUCUUGAUCUUUUGUCAAAACAUUUAUUUUCUUUAAAUAAGAAUCUGUAUCAGAAUCACUAUCACUGGAUACAGAUGUAUCUGAGUCAAUUAACUCAUCAGUCUGUAGAGGGUCAUUGUCUCCCGACAUGGAAGACUCAGAGUUAGAAGACUAUAUAAGUAAAGAAGCAACUUUGGAGAGGGUAUCAUCAUCAAGGCCAAGCUCAUUGAGCUUCCUAUUGAAUCUGCAAAAUUUUACAGUAUGGCCUUUCAUUCCACAUUUGUAGCAUGUGGCAUCUUUGCAGUUGAAAGGGGUUUUUGAUUUAGCUCUAAACUCUUUCUUCUUAAAGAAGCGGGGUUUCUUAUAAGGGCUUGGAGGUUUCUUAUAAGGAAGUUCUCUAAAGUCUCGAAAGGGUUUCCUAUGGCUUUUAGAUUUGUAAUGUUUCUUGUAAGGUUUUGUAGAACACUUACCAUUACAAUCUUUGGAAGUGAAAGUUUUAAAGGGGUCAUUGUUGAAUUGCUUACAGAAACUGCCUAAUUCUUGCUUAGAUUUCCUAAGCUCCCAUUUUAGUCGUUUCUGUAAUUUCAAAUCCUGACAGAUCUUUAAACCUUCUUUAUUGACAAAACUGACAAGUUCACCAUAAGUAAGCUCAUCAUAAGGGAUACGAUUGUCAUAUAAGGCUUUAAUGGAAUUCCUAACUUUUUCUCCUAAUAGGGUAGGUAAACCUGCAAGGAACUUCUCCUUCCAAGUUAUAUGAUUUGCAUUAUCCUUAAGGCAAAGUCUGGUGAAGAAUGUAGUUUUGUAGCUCUGGAAUUCACUAAGUUUUCUACACCGUAAAACCCGCAAUAAGAAUUUCUGCAAUGGCUUUGUCAGAAGUUCCCGAUUGGGUUUUGUAGGCAUUGGCUGCCAUGGUCAUUUGUUGCAACAAUCCUAUGACAUUGUAUUCAGACAUACCGUCAAUAUUCCACUCAUAGACAGAAGAUGCAUUAAAUCUAGAUUGGUUUAAUGCACUGGGUCGAUUGUCUAUGGCCAAAUCAGGUGGAGACCUGACAGUGGGAAGGGCUAACUCCCAAUGGAUUUUAUUGGCUUUAGGAAUUGGUUCUUCUGUGAAGGCUUCUACAUCAGAAGAGGCUAUAGAAAGAUUAUCCUGUUCUAGUACACCAAUCUUGCUAGACUGUGCACUAUCAGGGGCUAUCUGGACCUUAGAAGAAGAAGAAGAAGCUUCUAUUCUAUCUAAUUGGUCUCUAAUGGCUUUAGCAAAAUCUGAUUUUGACUCUUGAACAAGCUUUUGACUAGUUUUCGAAACCUGGAAAUGUUUGAAAAUAGGCUCUUUAAGCUUUUUGUCAGAAUCUGAUUUUGAAAGGGCUGGUUUUGUAGAAACAGGAGAAACAAUUAUGGUUGACUACUGGAACUGGUUUUCUAUCCUAGUCAACUGUUUUCCUAUUGUAUUUAGAUUAGCAUUACAGAAAUUAUUCUGUUGGAUAAUGCUAUCUAAAUCUGUUUCUGGGUCUUUAUGGAUUUUGUAAGGUGAGGCUUUGAUCUCUACAGGGGGUUCACCAUGAUCUAUGGUUAAACUCCUGAGAGGUGGAUGGUCAGAUUCUAUGGUUCUACCACUACCAGAAAAAGUCCAUUCAGGAAUCUUCUUUCUAGUAGUAAUGGGGUUUGACUCUUUAAAGGGAUAAGAAAUGUUGUUCUCUGAAGCAUAUAAUUGAAACCAUUCAAAAAAUAGAAUAUGAACUUUAUGUGAGUUUACAACUUGUAAUAAACUUCUUGAAUUUCUUUUCUUUGAUUUAAAAAAUGUUUAAAAAACCAAAGUCUUUUUCUUUAUUCGAAUCAGAAUAAAAAUCAUUAUGCAAAAGAGUUUUAUCUAAUUCAAAUUCUUUUUCCAUGACAUUUAUCACAUUUUCAGUGACGGCUGAAAAUGUGGGAGAGGUUGGAGGAGAAGGUUCCUUCUCUUCCUGUCUUUUGUCAUGCUGACUGCUGGUGUAUAUUGGAUGCGGAACACUAGUGGUGUAGUCAACAGAAUGUAUGGAUGAACUAGGUAUAUCCGAAGUGGAAAACCUAGGUUGGCUUUGGAAAGGGAGAUUUAUUACGGAAGGAAUUUUGGAGAAUUUCUUUUCCAAUAAGGGGAUGCUGGAGACAGAAUCUUUAUCAGAAAAUCUAGACGAAGUAGAUCUCCUAAAGGAUAAUUUGACUCUACCAUCAUAAUACUGAGUCACAUUUUGUAACUCUGUAUUAGGCUCAAGUUGUUUUGGAAUCACUGGGGCAGUGGCUCCUUCAAGGAUCCAUUCAUCUGGAAGGUUGAUAUCUUUCUAUUGGAUCGGUUUUGGAAUGACAGUAUUGGCUUUAGACAGGUCAGUAUACAAGAGAAGAGUAUCUUCUCUUUUUGACUGGAAUUUGUGCUGUGUGCUAAAUGCGGAAAUCAUGGCUUUAUAAGAGAUUUUAAAAAUCAAUGCAACUGGGACAGAACCCUCAAUCAUAUGAUAAAUGUGGGUUUUGAUUUGUAGAAUCAUGCUUUUCAAAAUAUUUUUGUCUUUUAAAGAGACUGUUAUGUUUAGGUAACAGUCGAAUGAGAUAAGGCCUUUACAUAGACUCGAUUCUAUGCUACGUAGCAAAGAAUCAUCAAAAGAGAUGAAUCGCCCAUCUCUAAGGACAGUAAGAAUGGAAGUGUUAAGUCUUUCCUUAGUGAGAGGCUUUAUACCGACUUGGAUCAAACCAAUAUGGAUCCGGUCUCGUUGCCUCAGAGGAACGUAGUAGUUGUAUGGCAGAUCUGAUACAGAUCAGUCUGCAAGUGAUGCUUUAAAAUAAAUUGCAAAAAUUUAAACAUACAUUCAAAGCUUUAAAAAAUAAAAUUACAAAUGCUUUAGAUAAAAUUGAAAAAUAAAUUGCUUACAUUAAUUGCUUUCUUUAAAAUGCUUUAGGAAGGUUGAUCUAUAUAGAGAAGAAAUGGAAAAUUACAAGACCAGGAAAAAUUUCCUUGAGUUGUCUUGAUCCAGAUUUUAUCAUUCUUUAAAAAAUCCAGAUUUUUUGUUUUGUAAAUCAUUUCUUUUGAAAUCUUAGGAAGUUCCCAAUUAUCAAUUGCUUUAUUAAAAUCUUCAAUUACAAAUUCUUCAGAAUUCACAACAUUCUUUGAACCGCUAGUCUUCCCAGAAGAAGAGCUAGAAAAGGAUGAUGCUCUACAGAGUAGAGAGUCCAUGGAUAAAAACCUAUGAUCUAAUUUGGUCUUGAUCGUAUGGCUACAGGUAUGGUUUUACUGCCCUAAGCGGAAAUCCUUAUCCUGAAACGGGACAUACUACCAGUAAGAAAUUCACCACACAAACAAAAUUCAAAAUAAAACACAAGUCUUUACACACAGAAAUCUCUAAACUAUAUUACACUAUCUUCCCCCUGGGAUACAGGGUCCUUGAGAAUCCCUUUCCCUUUGUAUAUAUAUAUAUAUAUAUAUAUAUAUAUAUAUAUAUAUAUAUAUAUUUUCCUUGUUCUUCAGAUAACUGGGCUCGAGGUAAUUAGCGUCCAAGUGGUGAAGAUAAGUUGGCACCCGCAAUGAAGAAAGCCGACCUCGCGAUAGAGUUUGGCAAAGGCUUCUACUGUGUACCCUAAAUUUUCGAAUUGGCAUGCAUCCUGGGAAAAAUCAGUUUUUUUUUUUAUUUAUAAAAAACUUUUAAGAUCGUUCUCAUACAAUAUAUAAGAAUUUGAAAUCUAGAAAUCCUACCUUAAAAAUCCGAUUUAGUUUUUUCCGCUGAAGUGAUUUAGGCUCCCAGAUCACGAUCCAUCACCACCACGCCUGUUAGAUCACGAUCCGUCACCACCACCACUACAAGAAAAGUAUGUAUAGUAGCAUCCGAAAAAUGCUACCAAAAGCAAAUGGUAGCAUUUUAGGCAAUGCUAAGUUAGCCCAUGUAACUAAAAGUCUUGGCAUUUGAUAGCAUUUAUUCAAUGCUACAAACUGUUAUACAUAACAUUUAAAAAAAGCUAUGUAAUCAUUGAUUAUUACAUUUUAGAAAUGCCAUCAUUCUCUUAUGUAUAGCAUCCGGAAAGUGCUACCAUAUUAUAUUUACAGCACACAAAAAAUGCUAUUGUUGGCAAAUUUAUUCCAUAUAUGUAAGAUUCUAUGGCUAUUAGAAAACGCUACUGGAUAAUUUAUAAGUGGCUACCAUAGCAUCUUUGUAAGGUUAUUGAAGAUAGAAAAAUUGAUACUUGUAAUGUAUUUUUUAUUCUCAAUAUUUUUAAAGGCUACUAAUUAUACAUACAAUUCAUCGUUCAUCUAAUUCAAUUAUGUAAUAAUAUGUGAACAUCCAAUUACUUAAAAAAUUAGACACAAUGAUAAGUAUAUUUGUGUCAUACUUGUAUAUUUUCUAAUGAUAAAAAAAUUAGGGAAAACAAAUCUAGUACUAUAUCUUCAAGUUGCCUUCAACACUGCACCAAAAAUUCUUGAUCUUCAUGGCCUACACCAAAAAUUCUUUAUCUUCACAGCCUGCAUAUGAAUUCAGAACAAAAAUAUAAUUGUGUUUUGCUCUUAGAAAAAAUAUUAACCACCAUUAAAUAUAUAUCUAGUACUACGAUUACAAGAAUAAUAUGCUAAAAAAAAGUAAAACAAAAUUAAAAAGAAAAAACUCAAUGAUAUAUUCUGAGAAACUAGUGUAACUAAAAAAUCACAAAACAAAAAGUUUAGAAUUUUAAAAAGAUAGCAAGAGAAAAACAAAUAAGCAAUAAUAAUAAUAAUAAUAAUAAUAAUAAUAAUUUGAAAAGAAAAUGGCAAAACACAAACCUUUGUUUUUGGUGAGGUUACAAAACUGGGUCAAUGUGCGGUUGGCCAAAAGCUAGAGGUGUUGCCGUGUAGGAGUUGGGUCUUCUUCAAUUGGGAGGCAUUAUUUUAUCAUAUCAAAUCCAACCAAAAAAAAGAAAAGGUUAUCUUCCAUUAAUUUUCUAAAAAAUCCAAAUUCACAAUUCAACACAAAAGUUAAAAAUUAAUGAUAUCAAUAAUUUAAGAGAGAAAUUGGAAACAAAAGAACAAUUAUAACAAAAAUUUAAAAACCCAAAAGCAAAAAUUGUGAAUUACCUUCACGAAACCAGUUUUUGGGACCCAUCAAUUUCUUCUGUCAAACUCAAGUCAUUUGGAGAUUCAAUUGCUCAACAAGUUAAAGGAUGAUUAUGUUAUAUGAUUUCUAAGGAAAUUUUGAGGGAUUAGGACUUUAGUUGCUUUGAUGUGUGAAGACUAGAGAGAGACGGAUUGAGGAGAGAAGAAAACAAAAGCUUUGACUUUGGCUGUUAGGUGAAAGCUGAGAGAGAGGCAAAAGGAUUUUAGAAUUAAUUUGAGAAUUUUAUUUUUUUGUUUGGCGGUAGAUCUAGAUUCCGCUUUAUUUUUCUCUCUUUUUUUGUAGCAUUUCUGGUGUGCUACUAAAUUAAUGUUUAUAUUGUAGCUUUUCCAAAAUGCUAUAUUAUUAAAUGUUAAACACAGCUCUUCUAAAAUGCUACCAUAUGAAUUUUAUUAAAUGUAACAUAAAUUUGUAACAUUUACAAAGUGCUACAUUAUUAAAAAUUAAGCAUAGCAUUUAUUAUGUGUUACAAAUUAAAUGUUAUAUCUAUUAAAAAAUAAAAUGUAACCAUUAAGUAGUUAAUAGUAGCAUUUUUUUACAAAAUGUUACAAUAGAAUGACAUUUUGUAGCAUUUUAAAAAAAAGUGCUACAAUUUAAUGCUACUAAAGAUGAUAUUUGUUGUAGUGCACGCUUGUUAGAUCACGAACUAUCACCAAUGAUCUUCCAGGUUAUGACUCAGGUUUGAUCUGCACUUGACGUGUGGGCGCCUUUAUCACUACCAAAGCAACUAGCACGAGAAAAUUUUUCUCUCAACAAUAGAAAGAAAAAUAUUUUUCUAUGAUCUGUAUAAAGUGGCUGCUCUCUUUUUUUUUGGGAGAAAAUAAGCCUUUUUAUAUUGCUAUUUUGUGGAAACCCAAGGCUCCAUAUUUAUUUAUUUAUUUUUAAUUCUAUUAAAUCACAUUUGGUUUAAAUUAAAAAACAAUCAAACAAAAGUCACGUUACUUGUUUUUGUGUUAUAGAGGCCCACCUUGUAAAAUAACACAAAGCCCCUUACACUCAAGCAUAUUAAUGGAGCCUCCGACUAAAUAAUAUAUUUAGGCAUUUAACUUAAAUAGCUAGUUAUCUUACUUAUUAAUCCAGUAGCGGCUCAGUCAAUUAAAUGAGCUAACCUGUGGAUCAUAUGGGUACAUACAAUAAUGGCUACAAUAAUUAGACCUGUAAUUAAACUAGCCCAAUUACUUAAUUCCAAAUCUACUCCACUAAAAGAUUGGAAUUGACCUCCAUAAUUGUAUGUUAUCUAGGAUAGUGUUCUCGAAUAAUAAUUCGACCCAUACCACAUUGAUUUCUUUACUUCAUAAUCAUUUGUACCACAUCGUUAAUUAAAUCGAUAUCUCAACUGUCUAAUCGAUUUAAUUACAUCUUGUUCCUUGAUACUUACUGGUUUUCUCUAAUGAUCAUUUUCAACAUACUAAAUACGUUGACACACUCUGGCCAGAGAAUUCUAUGAUCAAGUGUCGAAAACCCAUCAAGAGAUGUGUUGUACAAAUUCUAUAUUGUUAAUAUAUAACUCCAAUACUCAUAAUUGCUCCCACCGAGAUACCAGGUAAUCUUGACGACAAGCAUGUGUCGUGCCCAUUAGUAACUCAAGUAGAAUAACAAUUACAAUCAUGAAAUCAUAAUUAACUCAAGAUUAAGAUUACAGUAAAAUCAAUGCCUAUGAGAUUUAAUAAGUCUGACAGUCAUUUCAAAGUUAAUUAAAUCUCAUAUGUGAUUCAGCUCAAUGUAGUCAAACUACAUCAGUAAAUUCAUAUAUGAUUAAGACAAAUUAUUCAAUGAAUUUACUACAGUCUAAACAUAAAUAGAGCGUCCAACUCCAUUUAUCAACUGCGAACUAAAUUUAUUUAAUCAUAAGAUAACUUGUAUUUAUGUCUUCUGUGAAUCCAUAUGAUGAUCACAUAAAUACAUAUAAUAUGAUUAAACGGACCUUAUUCAAUAUAUAUUUAUGCAAUUGAAAAUAUCUCAAAUAUUUUAUUAAUCAGAAAAUAAAUUAAUAUGCUUUAAAAGAGCAUAUAAUCCCAACAAUGCAAAUGUGGAAUCAUUCAAAAGGAAGAACACAACUACAUCAUGAAACGGGAGGUUUUCAAUGAGAGACAUCAAGCUGAACAGUAUUUGAUUGAAAAUACUGAGUUUCUCAACAAGAUAAUCAUGAUCUUGAGGAAAAAUUUGCUCGAAAGGCAUUGACUAUAUAAAGUAUUCUGAGAUGAUCGAGCUCAGUCAGGUCAAUGCAAAUAUCGGGUCACUACAAAUAGAAAAGGACUUGAAAGUGGUGUUAUGCCAACAAUCGGAGAAUUUGACUGCACAUAAAUGGUUUCUGGAGAUUUGGCCAUACCAAGCAUAUCCCUUAGAACCAAACGAAACUCGGUGUUGUUGAUGCUCUUCAUUGGGACUCAAAAUUACUCUGCUGAGUGCUUAGGGUGAGAGAUUUGUACUACUUCUUCAUGCUCUUCUAAGCCUGUUUGGUAUGGCUUAUUUAAGAGCCAUAAGUGCUUAUUUAAUCGUAUAAACACUUUUUAAAAUUUUUUAUAGUGUUUGGUUAUUUUUUUAAUGGAGUUUUUUUAGCUUAAAUAAGCUAAUUUACCUCUACUAGUAAAAGCCAAAAAUUUGAGCUUUUGGGAGUAGAAGCUAUAGAGCUUUUCUAAAAAUAUAUAAUAUAAAAAAUAUCACAGUUUAAUGGUUCAAAAAUGCUUUUUUUAUUGACAACCAAACACCCAAUGACUUUUUGUCCAAAAGCUCUAUUGGUAUAAGCUCUACUGCUAUAAGUUCUACUGUUAUAAGCUCUAUUUAAUAAGCUGUACCAAACGGAGCCUAAUGGGCUUUUCCAUUGCCUUGAUUGUCUUUAACUGUUAAGCUGCUUAGGGUCCAUAUUUAUCGUCCCCAAAAAAUUGUAAUCAUUUAGGCAUUGUACAUAGGUGGCGUAAUUCAAAAAUAUUUGUCCAAGUUCUUGUAGUUCACUAGUUCAUAACCUUUGGGGCAGACUUGUCAAGUGGUCAUUUCCUUCUUUCUUUUGUGUUUUAGGCUCCCUCUGGUACUGAUGUUGGUGGGGAUAAGCACGUCGGGUUCGGUUUGGGAAAAUUAAGAUAAACGAUGGAGCUAUUAGUAUCCCUUCCAAAAAUCUUAUAAAACCCAUUACUUAGCCACUUACAAUUUUGACCUUAAUUUCAAUUAUAUUCUAAAAAAAAAUUUAUUAAACCCAUCUUAAUACUCUAAGGGCGUAUUUUAUCCUUUGAUUAUAAACAUGUAAUAUUUAUAAUUUUUAUUUAAAAAUCAUAUUUAUCUUAUAUUAUUAUUACCUCCACCAAACAAACGGAGUCUCGACAGUAUAGAAAUAUUAAAUUUGUUAAUACAGACGACAGAGACAUAUAUCUAAUUGUAACUCAGCCCCGUUAUUACUCAAGUCUUGUUGUGUAUUAUUUAAUAGCAUGAUUUGCGGUUGUGAUCACCUAGUCUAAACUCUAUAAACCGUAGUCAAGCAGCCAGCUGUCUGAGUGAAAUUUAGUUAUCGCUUGACUUUGACAUUAACACAUCCACAGAAUGAGAUAAUGAAUUGAUGAUACCACAAAUUUCUAUUUUCCACACAACAAGAUAGCAGAGUUGCACUCAAUUCGGAAUUUUGGAUUCAGCUGCCCCAAUUGAGCACGUUUCUGGAAAAACAGACAAAUACAAUGAAAGUGGCAGUUUGGCAUCAUUAUUUGUUACAGCUGAUAAUAAAGACUUAAAUGACUUCUAUCUUUUAUGACUCUAAUUGAUUUUGGUCUAUUUUAUAUAUCCCGGAUAUUUCUCAAUGAAAAGUAUGAUAAUAUGUAAAAACUAAAUUAUGAAAAAUAAAUGUUGAUCCUCUGCUAAUCUAUUUCCAAAAUUUGCAACACUCCCGUCGAGAGAGGAAUUAGCAUGUCAUCAUGAUCAUAGAGUAAGUUGAGAAAUUUAAUUUUUUUUAUUAUUACAUUUUGAUACAUUAAUUAAUCAUGUGAACACCAAUAAAUGUACCAUAUCAAUCAUCUGUUGAAGCAAGUAGUAUAAGGUUUGAAUCCAUGUUCAGAUGAGUGGAAAGAGAAUUGAAUUGCUGUUAGGUUUAAAUUAAAAAAAAAAAUUCAAACUGUAGAAGCCAUGACGAUCGAUGUGUUGAUCAACGUCCUUCUCAACAAGGUAUAUUACAAGGCAGCAUCAGCAUGCGUAGGCAAUGAGGCAUGCCUUUUUUUUUUUUUUAAGUAUAUGUACUAGAUAAAUUAUAUCGAAUAGCAAAUUAUUUUUGACAGCACUUUCGAUCGGUAUACAUGAUCUUAAACUAAAAAGGUGGGUUAGGGCUCAAUGUCACGGACCACUCAAAUUCUGGGACAAAGAGAUUAAAUGCACAAGCCAAGAUGUGCUAGCUUGACUUGAUGCUAGAAGGUUCCAGCUCUAGUCAAGAAUGGCAACUUUAGUAGACAACAAAUUAAUAUUAAAGCUACCAAGACAGUUCCAAAAUGAGAACGUCUACAUAUUUUGUAAUUGAGUAUAUCAAUCUUUUAGUGACAAGUUGUUACAUGUGUCUGUGUAUUUUUUAAAUUAUCAACCAUACAAAUACAAUAUAAAUUAAAAUAAAGUAAUUGGAUAUAGAUGCAUGAUCACGUUGAGUCGUCGACAAUACAAUUAAGAAAGGAGACUUGUUCCAUUUUCUAACACCAUAUUAAAAAAGAACCAAGUUGUUGAGUAAUUGAACGUCUACGAAUAUGAACACCACAAAUAUGGAGGAAGUUGCAGUAGGGCACUGCCAACGAGUCAAUAGAUAGUGACGUGCAUGCUCAAGAAAAUUAUUAACCUCAGGACUUUUCAAAGAACCCAGCAAGUUGUUAGAUUAAUUUGUUUCGACCAUUCAGGUUGUCAUUAUUAUCAGUGUAGAAAUUUUUAUUUUAUUUUUCUUCCACUAUGGCUCAUGGUCAUGGUGAUUUUCCUCUAUAAAUGGGCUGCCAAGAAUUGGUGUUAGUAUAACACACUUUGCAAUUUCGUUUAUCUCUAUGGCUAAGUUCUUUUCCCCUCUCAAUACCCCUUCAAUGGCUCCCGUCGUCUUGUUUCUUCUUGGGCUGCUAAUGGCUACCUUAGAUACAACAAGUAUAUAUCUUAAUUUCUCGAGAAAAUGAUCAAAACCUCUUUGUUGUUCAUAAAUAAUUUAAUUUCUUUUAAUGUUUCAAAAUCUAUCAAAUUCGCUUUCAAGAGCUUGACCAAGUAGUUUUUAAGCAAUGUUUUAGCUGAUCCUCGAUGAUCGAAUAUGGAAGUGAUAGUGACUAAAAACUGAUUUUGCACUUUAUCCAUUUCCUACUUUUUUUUCUUUUAAUCCAUCAAAACAAACCCGUACGUUAUCAUUCAAUUUUCUGAGUUUUAAUAAUACUUUACCUAUUGUGUUUUAAUAAUACUUGACUUAUUACAACUUUUUUUUAUAAACAUUGAGUUUUAAUUAGUGGUUACCACAUCAAGGGAAAAAAUAUUAAAAGCAUAAAACAAGUUAGAAUUUAACAUAAUUUUUUUUUAAAGACAGAAUUUUUGAAAUAUACGGUGCGAAAUGAUUACUUUACCGAAACCCAACGUAACCAUUUGAUCGUUUUCCCUAUCCUUCUCUCUAUCCAUGGAUUAAUAUUAUUCAUUAACUACUAUUAUAAGUUCUUAAUUUGUUCAUUAUCUAUAUAUUGCAUUUUACAGGUGCCCAAAUAGGUGUUUGCUAUGGAAUGCUUGGUAACAACUUACCAUCAAAACGAGAUGUCAUAGCUCUCUACAACCAAAACAAAAUCAGAAGAAUGAGACUCUAUGAUCCAAACAGAGAAGCACUCGAAGCUCUCAGAGGCUCCAACAUUGAAGUCAUGUUGGGCCUUCCCAACGACGACCUCCGAAGAAUCGCUUCCAAUCAAGCCGAAGCAAACACUUGGGUCCAAAACAACGUCCGAAAUUUUGCUAACAAUGUUAAGUUCAAAUACAUUGCUGUAGGAAAUGAAGCAAAACCUGGAGAUAACUUCGCUCAGUACCUUGUUCCCGCCAUGAGAAACAUACAAAACGCCAUCAACGGAGCCGGCCUUGG
rnacentral:lncRNA from 1 species